AUGCAAUGGGGUAGGUUGUCUGUGAGCUCUUCUCCAGAGAGCACACUCCAUUUUGAACUGGACCAUGGACUUUUGUAAUUUUUAAGGAUUAUCCCCUGCCUGAUUUUCAUCACUGUAUCUGUUGAAUCCUGGCAAGACUUUGAUAAGUGAGUAAACCUUAUAUUUUUCUUGUUUACUUAAAUGGUCUGAGAGUGAUAUCUUUGUUAAGAGGGAAACCUAAAAGGGAGAAGAUAAUCCAAGUUUGCCUAAGCAUCCUUGGAUAUCAGACUUGUUCUAGAAGGUUAUACAACCUUGUCCUAAAAGCUUCUGGAGUUGAGUUGCAAAUAGAUGGUGAUAUUACUCUGAUGAAAUAGGUAUGUGCAUUCUCACACUAGUGAAAAGAGGAAGGAUGAUUAAUAAGUAAAAUAUCCUCUCCUACUCAUCUAAAUCCAUCCAACAAUUCUCAUGCACAAUGUCUCUCCCCUUCAACCCCUGGCAUUCUCUGCAUUGAGCAAGGAAGGUCUGCAGGGGGUUUGUACUUGCAAUUGCUUGAACAUGAGUUGCGUAAUCAGGGACCAUGAUAAAGUUGUGUUGAGGGUUGCACUUCAGUAGAAACCUCCAACAGACACUCUCCCUUGUGUGCAUCCUGUGCCUCAUACAAAGAUACAGAGUUUGCAUUUUCAGGCAAAUACCAGAACUUGCCUAAAGAGAUGUACCUUUCUCCCAGAGUUAAUGAUGUACUCAGGAGUCAGCAAACUUUUUCAGUAGGGGGCCAAUCCACUGUCCCGCAGACCUUGUGGGGGGCUGGAUUAUAUUUUUUGGGGAAAAGAACGAAUUCCUAUGCCCCACAAAUAACCCAGAGAUGCAUUUUAAAUAAAAGGACACAUCCUACUUAUGUAAAAACACACUGAUUCCCGGACCGCCCGCAGGCCAGAUUUAGAAAGCAAUUAGGCCGGAUUCAGCCCCCGGGCCUUAGUUUGCCUACCCAUGCUCUAGACAGUCAAGUUUGACAUUCUGGACAUAUUGGCGUAGGUGAUUUUCAAAUUGCACAUCUUAGGCUAAAAACAUUGAAUAUUUUAUAUGAUGUAAUUUCCAAUAGUUUUUAUAGUGGGAAUGGGUAUAGUUGUUAGUGAAACAUUCUCAUAUGAUUCCUUCCAGGGUUGGAAGCUAAAAUCUAUGCAAGUAUUGAGCAAGAUAAGAUGCAGAAAUUGUAUGUUUUAGGAAGAUGGAAUGUGGUAGGCCCUCUGAAAGGAACGGAUGGGCCUUUGACUUUCAUUUUCUUACUUUACAACACAAUCUUCUUGUGGAGCUCUUGCAGUGAACCCCUGAUAAAAGCAGAAUUGGUUGUUAAAAUUUGACAGGCCUUUGCAAUCAGGUCACACACAAUGAGCAUGUUUCUGUUGAAAUCCAAGGACUGAAGUAUUUCAUUGCAAAGGCAAAGGAUUGCCUUAAUCUUUUAGUCAUCAGUGCAUUGAUUAUACAUUCACUGUUUAUGUGUCAAAUCUAGCUGUGCCUUUGUACAAUGGAAAUGUGUAAUAACAAUCCUUUUAAUGUCAUUUGUAUGUAACCUGAGAGAUGAAUUUGAAAGCGAUGAAUGUUUUUAAAUAGCACCUAUAAGCGUGAUACACAAAUAUAGCAAACUGUGCUCUAGGGUACUCAAACACUGGCUUCCUGAGCUUUUCAAAAUGCUACCAUUUUAAUCUUACUUGCCUCUUUUAUGCAUUUGUUCUUGACAAAGCACUCAGCUUAUAUUACUCAGAGUCUCAAACAAAGCCCUAGUUUUCAGUAAAUCUGGAACAAGGCAUAAAUUUAAGGAAAUGCUGGUGUCUACAAAACAUUAUGUUAGUUUACAUAGGUUAAGCUUAUCAUGUGCUACCUUGCCUCUUAUUGAUAAGCACAUCUUUCACACAAAAGGAAGACACUGUCAGUGAUAAAUGAUCUUCAGAACCAAUUUCACAACAAACAGACAAGUGUGUGAUAGUUUCAGUGAUUGUAGCGAAAAGGUUGGCUUAAUCUAAUCUCAGUUUCAACUCCAGUUUAAGUGUUUUGUGAUUACAGGCUGAUAGUGCUGCCUAGGAAGUAGCAGUGGCUAUUGGCAGUGAUUAUGGUACCUUCCUUUUGACAAAGAGAAUCCAUUCUGGAAAUCCCAUGAAUUUUCCCUAUUUAAACCCCAAUUAAAGCGCGUGAUUUCACCCUUCUUGUUCCCAUUCCAAGAGGACAGGUAAGCCUAUAUCUGUAAUGUGGCUCUCAUAAAUUGUUGUUGUUGUUGAUGAUGAUGAUGACUUCACACUGGCUAAAAACACUCAAAGGAAGGAUCAGGCUGGAUUCUCACAAAAUGAAUAAAGAGACUAGUGCCUGCACGUCUUGCCUCAUAUCUCAGGCUGCUGCAUGCUGGAAUGGAAAGGGGGAGCAGCAAAGUGUCACUGAGGUCAGCAUAGGGCUAACACACCAUCUGCUUUAUGGGUCAACUUCUGGGCAUCACAUGCUAGUGGUGGGCAGGACCAAUGGUCAAAAUGCACAGACGUGAAUUAUCUAAAGGACUGUCACAUCCUAGAUGGGGUAAGCUUGUUUUCUGCUGCUCUGGUGGCUAGGACCUGAACCAAUGGACUGAAAUGACAAGGAAAGAGAUUCUGACUAAACAUCAGAAAGAAUUUUCGGUCUGUAAGAGCUCCUUCCUUGGAUGUUUUUAAGCAGAGGUUGGAUGGCCAUCUGAUCAUAUAUGAUCAAACCAUAGAAUUGCAGAGCUGGAAGGAGCCCUGGGAGCCAUGUAGUCUAACCGCAUUGCAGGCGGUUAGACUACAUGGCUCCCAGGGCUCCUUCCAGCUCUGCAAUUCUAUGGUUUUUGCACUGUAUGCUUGUUUCUACACACCCACUUAUCCCUCUCUUUCCUUCAACCUGGGAAAGCAAGAAGCAUUAUCAGCAUUCAAGGACUCAUUUCUGCCAAGCAAAAACAUCUGAGGGUGGAAAGCAGUGGUGGUGAAAGGUGUGACUCAGAAAGGUAUCUAAGAACAAUAGAAGAGCCUGCUGGAUCAGGCCAGUGGUCCAUCUGGAAUCCAUAGGGCCAGAUAGGGAAGACUGAAGGGCCACUAUAGGGCCCCUGGCCUCAGAUCCCCCAUCCCUACUUUAAAUCUUAGAAUGCAACAGGACCUGUGAGUUCUUUCCUUUGAUAUGUGAUUCAAAGUGAUACUUUCAGAAGGAACAUCAACAAGUCAGGGAAGGCUUUGAAGAGUAGCUUACAAAUGACAAAUGAUUUGAAGUUCAAUCGGUAUGAGAAAAGGUUGAAGAGACUGGACAUGUUUAGCCUCGAGAAAAGGAAGAUUAGAGGGGGAUAUGAGAGCGACCUUCAGAUAAUGUAGGUGAGAACCAUGCAGCCCUGUCUUGGGGGAAGGACAAAAAGAGAUAAGUUAAAGUGAUAAGCAGAGAGAUUUAGGCUCUAUACAAAGAAAAGCACACUUUUCAAAUGCAUGGAUAGUGAAACAUGGUGCCUAAGGAAGUGAUGAAAACUUGUUUGAGGCUGAAGAAAGGGCGAUACAGGCAUCUGGUGGCUAUACCAUUAAUAUAUAGUUUCCAGCCUCAGAUUGUGGAGUUAGACAGCAAGGCCCCUUCUAACGUUUUGUUUCUAAGCACCUGUCAUUGUAAAAAAAAAAAAAAAAGGAAGAUUAAUGGAUGACCAGAUCUUAUCUUUCCAUGUCUUCCCAGCUGAGAAAGGGCAGAAAGAAAUGAUAAAAGAUUAAGCAGCUUUUCACAUCUCCAAUUUAUAGCACUGGUCAAAGCCUUUCUAAAAUAUGUACUAGAGAGGUUCCAUCCAUUUGUUGGGAAAUUGUUCCCACAGAAGACUAGAGGUUAAUAUUCUCCAUAUCAUAUACAUCCUGAGCAAAUCUAUUAAAAGUCAAGAGGUUCACAAUGAGAACUAUUCUAGAUGUGAUUUGUCUUAGAAUGAAAUAACUCACAAGGAAAUUUUAUUUUCUUAGAUUCACAUCCCUUGCUAUCACAUUAGGGAUGAAUGAAUCUCUCAGUUUCUCAGUGUCCCAUUUAUAAGUUCCGUUCCCCCAAUUUUUACAUAAGGUUGCAUUAAAAAGAAAAGAAAUCCACAUGAAAUGCAUAAUAAUUUUGGGUGUGUAUUUUCCAAACACACAUUUUUGUACAUACAAUUGUCCAGUGUUCAUUUUUUCUACACAAGUUUGUCUGUUCCACACAUUUUGCAAACAAUGUUCCCUAAUAUAAUGCAUUUUUAUAUUGUUUUCACUAAUUGAUAUAUUUUUUGAUGUGCAUCAUUGUAUGAUUGGAUAGAUACCUGCAUGCAAAAUUCAGGGAAAUGUGAAUUUUGAAAGAUAGCUGUGUUUCAAUUCAUAUAUUGCAGUUGUGGGAAACCUUUCGCCCUUCAGAUGUUACUGAACUACAUCUCCCAUCAUCCCUGGCCAUUGACCAACAUUGACUUGUAGAGCCUUGAAACACUACAGCAAUGAGAGUGGGAAUGGUCAAACUUUUUUCCAUCAAGAGCUGAAUUAUCUUGGCGGUAAACUGCUUUCUGCCAGUGGGUGGGAUCAGAAAUUGCAGUGGGUGAGACCAGAGGUAUUUCAUACAAUUUCUCAUCCAGCCCUCUUUUUCCCUGCUUGAUAACCCUUAAACUAGUUAACUCUUUCCACUCCUGUGAUUCUAGUGAUUAUUGACCCCAUGCUGGUAUUCAGCUUUUUCCUAAGCUUAAUGGCAGUGAGUUGGGAGAGGGUUCCAUGAGCAGGAUCCAGAGGGUACUAUUUAAGGCCCAAGCAAUUGUGAUGAUGAUGAUGAUGAUGAUGAUGAUGAUGAUAAUUUUAUUAUUUAUAUGCCGUCCAUCUGACUGGACAAGAUGACAUUGAUUCCUGUUACAGGCCUUCUCUGUAGUAUCUUUCCAUUCAUGGAACAAAGCCUAGCACAAACUUUGUCAUAAUUUCAGUUUCCCCAGGCACUUGGACAGAAUAAUCAAUAGGGUAUUGUAUUGUUAAAUAUGUUUUUAAUAUAUGUAUGUGAUCGUACCACUGAAUUUUUUUACCUGCUUGCAAAUCGCUUUGGGACUCUUUUAGUUGGAAGUGAUACAUGAAUUUAAUAAACCUAAGCCUAACCAUUUCUGAUAGAACAAUGCUGUUAAAAAUAAAUUUUGUUCAUAUGGAAAGAAAUAAACUGAAUAAUGGAUCCCUUUUUUCCUCUUGAAACUGACAAGCUUCUAUUCUUUCUCAAAUAUCAGAUGGGCUUAAAAGUAACAUUUUUUGUACACUAUAAAACUGUAUUUUUCCUUUUAUAAAAAGGAAAGAAAAUCAGUCUUUAAAGCUACUAUUUGCCCUGAUAAGGAAAACGCGUGAAUAUGUGUAAAAUAUUCUUUCACUGGGAGAGUUAACUAACUAACUAACUAACUAACUAAUUAAAUUUGUAUACCACCCUAUACCCGCAGGUCUCUGGGUGGUUCACAGGAUAAAAUCAGAAUAUAAAAGCACAAAAUACAUAAUGAAAACAAAAACAAAAACAACCCAAUAACCCCCCUCCCCUGGAGAACGUUGUGUGAAGGCAAACACUACUCCAUUUUUGCCAUUGUCUGAAUAGUGCUUUCUUUAAGUGGCUAGUUUCUUUGUAAAACAAACAAACAAACAAAAACAAACAAACAAAUUAAAGAAAUGGGAGAUCCAGUAUGGAUCUCCAUUAUUGCAUGUAGCUUUGGCCUGAACAGAAAUUACCUCCAGUUGAUUUCUGCCAAUCCCUCAGUGCAGCUACGUUAUUCUGGAGAAUCCAUUGACCCCUGGGAUCAGAUUUACAAGAUGGCUAAGGUGCUAUAACAGAAGGGAAGAAGCAAGAAAAUCCACUUCAGAAGCUCUUAUCUUUCAAGUGUUUGCAUUACUUUGCUCACAGGAGUCUGAUGAUUUCAUUUGGCCUUGUUUUGUAUAAAAGGUAAAAUGCCAGCUUUUAAAUAUAAAUCCAGAAGAAUAAUGAAACCUCAUGAACUUCAAUCACCAAUGAAGAGAAAAUGUAAUUUGAGACAGGUUAGAUGGUAUAUCUACAACUAACCAACUGGAUGAAUCACAAUGGAAAUUAAGUCAUGUUGGAUGAAGUGGCUGACCAAACAAAGUGGUCUAAUGACAAGGGAAUGGAGCUAAACAAAUGGAGUGUAAAGAGCACCACAAAUGGACAAAGAGCAAACAUGUUCUGUUAUCCUAUCUAUCGGCAAAACAGAUCUGGAAGUGGCAGUGGUGGUAAGAUCUUGUGAUACAACCUCUUAAUCAGAAGAAAACUACAUGCCAUCAAUAAGAUGCAGCUGCAAAAAGACUGGUUGGAAUUCUUGGAAGUAAUUAGGCAAAGUUUUUGUAGAACAGGUGGAGGAGGAUGAAUAGCCUUCUAUAAGGUACUGGUGAGGUCAAACAUUUGUCCAGUUGUGGACAUCCAUUUUCAAGGAGAAUGAAUUCAUAAGGAAAAUUGUUAUGUACUGAGUUGAAUAGGAUUCAGAAUGCAGUAGUCUGAUUGGUCCGAGAACAAUAGGAUUCAGAAUGCAGCAGUCUGAUUGGUCCUAGAACAAUAGGAUCCAGAAUGCAGCAGUCUGAUUAGUCCACAGGAGCCACCCAAUCCAGCUCCAGGUGGAAGUGAAUCCGCAACCUGAUUGGCCUGCAGGAGAAUCCUGGAAUUAGCCAAUCACGUGGGGCCCAUUGUGUAAAUAAUGUAUAUAAAGGGGACAUUCUGAGGGAACUUCCACUCCUCCUCACCACUAUGAGUUGAAUAAAUAGCAUGAAAUCCACUCUCGACUCCGAGUAUAUUUCAAAAAUGAUGGAAAGAAGACCAGGUAUAGAGGUAUAGUUAUGAGCAGAGAUUGCUCUGUUUAUCUUAGGAAAAAUAACACUUAUGCCCCUUUCAGUGCCGUGGGGUGGCAGUUGCUUCUCAAUGCCAUGUAGCUGAAAUAAGGCUGUGAAUAACAGACCUUUCUGGGCAUAGUCUGCUAUGAAGGGUUUCACCAGUCAGUUGGCUAUUUAUUAAUCCAUAUGUUUUUGUUGUUAUUAUUAUUUGCACUACCCUUCAACUUAAGAUCUCACAGAAAAGGCCCAUUCUUGUGUUGCCAUCCUCCAGAUCUCAGUAUGGGGGAUAAAACUGAACCCUGGCAUGUUGGGACAGCCUCAUAGUCACCAUAGCAGCCAUUAAGUUCUGAGCCACCCCAGAGCCAGUCACCUUGGCAUGGAUGUAGAAGUCCUCCAGAACUAGCAGUCUGGGAGUCCUCAACAUGGCCUCUGAGACCAUCUCUGUGAGCUCAGGCAGGGAGAAUGCUGGGCAGCGAGGCUGGCAAAAAAACAGCAGAAUCCCUAAUCUAUCCUGAUUGUCCAAUGCCAGGAAUGCACACUCAAGAUCCUGCCCCCGCACUCCCGCUGGGCAUGGACAUAGAGCCUGGAGAGUGAAAUGGAUUCUUUAUAGACUUCAGCAAUAUGAAAGGGUACUAUGGUGUUUAGAGCUUUUUAAAACUGUUAUCAUGAUUAGGACUGGAAGCAGUGAAGUAUGGGGAGAUUUUAUCACACAGGAAUGGGGGAAUUUCAGUUCACAUUUUUAUGGGAACCAAUGUGGUUUGCAUUUCCCAGAAUAAUACACAUACUAAAAGGCAGCUAUCCUUCUAAAUUAUCUGUAUCUUGGAAUGCAGUACUCCAACCAAAAAAAGUGUACAGAAUUGUGUAUAUUAGGAGAAAGCGUAGAUAAAAUGCAUUUAUCAGUGAACGUAGCAUAGAAAAUGCAUUAUGUUACAGGAAAUUGCUUACAAAAAUGUGUUUAUUAGCCAAAAUUGCAUGCAAAAAAAUGUGUAUGAGAACUGUUUGCUAAAAUGCUGACUAAUUUUCAAGAGUGGGAAAAAAGAAACACCAUUUCAAACUGAUGCAGAAAUGUUGUGAACUGGAAAAAUGAGAAAUUGAGAAGAACCAGAAUUUACAUCCUGGCAGAUUGAGUGGACAAGACCAAUAGUGGGCCCAACAGUCAAGAAGUGAGGGGCAGAUGGGGCUCAUCAGCCUGGAAACGUAGCCCAUCUAGGAGAAGGAAAACUCUGGUCCUAAACCUCCACUGCUUUGUAGGAUGUCUUUGGAAGAAGAAAAGGCUGAUGUGAGUUUCACCUACAGUGUGCUACUACCUGAUAAAUGCCGCUACCUGAAAUUGACCCUUGCAUUAGUAUAAAUUAUGCUGACUCAUGUAAGAAUGUGUAAUUUAAGCCAGCUGACAGAGUGACUAACCUACUCAUGCUGAAAUAUGAAUCAAGGACUCUGAGAGACAAAGCAUCUACUGUCUUAUCUCAAUUAUGGGAUGUCACCAUUCAUAACAAAACCAACUCUACAGUCCUUUGUUUCUAGAUAGUACAUUUACAGCUGUAAUCUGCUGUGUUAUACGCUGGAGAAAAUGCUCUAAAAAUCAAAAUUCUGUUGAAAAACAAAGCAAAACUAUUUUGAAAACUAUAGAGUUGUGGUCAUUAAAAUUAAUGGGGUUUGCAGAUAAACAGAAAUGGGAAGUAUAAUGACUAUAACUGGAAGACAGAGUCUUAAGGAAAAGAGACAUUCAGAGGUCAAAAUGAUGAACUGAAAUUGAAAUGAGAUUAAUUUUGAUUGAUAAGUCAGACAUCCAAAAGAAUGAAUAUUCUGGGAUAGUGGGAACAGUGUGAGUGGGGGUUUAUCUACACUUCCUCUUGUCCUGCUGCUUCCUCAGGGGAAAACUGCUCUUUAGGGCUCAAUUGGAGCAAAUGGCAAUUCAGGUUUUCUCCAGAUUGAUGUUUGCACCUGGCUCUGUUUAAAGAAAAAUAAAAACCAAAGCAAAAUUGAUCUAAAAAGCCUGAAGUCUCCCCUUCUCCAACAUACCCUGCCCUGAAUGUGAUCUAAUGAAGGGUUGGAGGUGGCAUGCUUCUGAAUACCAUUUGCUAGAAACCAUAUCGGGGAGAGUUUCCUUGUACUUCUUUCAGCUUUCCCACAGUGGUUGACCACUGUGAGAACAAGAUGCUGGACUAGAGGGGCUGUUGGCCUAAUUCAGCAGGCUCUUUUUAUGUUCUUAGGGUUCUCUAAAUCAAGGAACAAUGCAGGCAGCCAAGAAAUGAUCAAAAUGAAUAAAUGGGGGGGGGGGUUGGAGGGGGGGUAAGAAUGUCUAUGCAUGCUUUCAGAAAUGUGUCAGAAUGUGUCACGCUUUUGAACGUGGCUAUAAAAGGCAGGCAUUCCUAACAAAGGCUCUGAGGGCCAAAGUUACACAUUGAUCACAAUUUUCACCUGGUUCCUUGUCACCUGAAUCUUUGAUUAUACAGCAGUGACACUGAGACAGUGUGGAAGCCAGUUUGUUGUGCUUUGAAUAUAUUCUGUCAGAUCACAAGCCACCAUAAUCAGAUAAAAAGUUGGCAGCUAUGGAAAAGUAAAGAGGGGGCAGGGGCUUGUUUGGGGAAAGCUUUCCAAUCCCCUUUUAACUGUUUUUUUCCCCUUUAAAAACUUUGGCUCAGAUCUCAUUAUGAGUCUGAGUUCUUGACCUACAUUCACAUUUCCAGUUUAGCUAAGGGCCAAUUCACAUGUUUCGUUUUUAAGGUGGCAAAACCUCACAAACUUGGUUUUCACAUGCUGUUUGCAGAAAACAGGUUUUGUGUUAGAAAAUCUGAACGCGUUUAAAUUUUUUAAUGUAGAGCUAAUUCAUACAAAUUGUUCCUCCAUGCACAGUGCAGAGGCAAAAGCCACCUAGAAAUCAGGUCUAACUUGUGACAUAAUUUCUGCAAAGCUACUUGUGCCCGCCUAAACCUUGAAUUUCAAUUAUUGUUGGCCCAAAGUAUUAAGUCUAGCUUUUUCAUCAUGUUGAGGUGGAGGGCGGGGGGGGGGGGACCUCAGUUGGUUUGAUCUUCAGUGGAAGGAAUGUGAAUACAAUUCACAGAGGGUAAGAUGGUCUUUCUGUAAUGUGGCUAAAAGUUAUUCACAGGGGAAACCAUGUUUUCUCCCCAGAAUGCCCUGGGGAUUUUGGAAGAAGAUUAAAUCCAGGCAAAAUGAGGUGCUUCUUCAUCAAGUACACAGUGAAGCUAUGAAGCACAAUAUCACAAAAUGUAGUGAUGGGAACCAACUUCGAUGGCUUUGAAAGAGGUUUAGACAAAUUCCGGGAGGAUUCAGCUAUCAAUGGCUUCUUGGAAGAUGGAUAGGUACUUGCCUUGGCAUGCCCCAAAUUCUGACAGUGAAUCUAAAAUCAAGGCUACUUUAUCCUUUAGACCACUGUAUUUUCCAAGUGGCAAACUGAAGCACAAGAGCUUCUUUGGAUCGUUUGAAAGAUCCAGUUCUUGUAGGCUGCAGUCCAAUCCCCUAAUCCACUACACUAUGUUGGGAGUCAGAUGGACAGUUUAUCCCAUUCUGCACAUAGGUCACAAAGACAGGAGUUGGGUGGUUGUUUCUUUAAGCUUGCUUUGCUGUCUCCAUUCUAUGAUACUUUCUCCGGGACAUGCCCUUUUCAACUCAAUGAGACUUCAUUUUGAGGAAAUGGUAAACAUGAACAUCAUUGACAUAACUUACUUUAAAUACAACUUUAUUCAUUUUAGAAACUCAGAAAUUCCCAACACAAUUCUGGUUUGAUAGUACAGUGGACGCUCGGAUUGUGAACGUGAUCCGUGCGGGAUGCAUGUUUGCAACCCGCAGUGUCCGCAAUCUGCAGUGGCACGUCUGCACAUGCGCGGGUCGCAAUAUGGCACUUCUGCGCAUGCACAAAAUGUGAUUUAGUGCUUCUGCGCAUGCGCGACUACCAAAACCCAGAAGUAACCCAUUCCAGUACUUCCGGGUUUCAGCGGUUUGUAACCUGAAAAAACGCAACCUGAAGUGUCUGUAACCCGAGGUAUGACUGUACAGUCACUGUACUGAAAUUCUGAAAAAAAGGAUGAAAAAACUUGAAGCAUAAAAUAAAAUACCUGAAUCGUUGCAGCAACAGCAAACAACAAUACCAUUCUGAAGGCUUUGACCUAGUGACAAUCGUGAGGUUAACGUCCCCCCUUUUUAAUACUUAAAAGCCUUUAGUGCUUUAUUGCCAGCUAGAAACUAGUCAACAUUAGCAUUUGACUGAUGGAGUCCUCUUCCUUGUGUAAGUACCUGCAGUAUGAUGAAUCGGGUAAUAAAGGGAUCAGUCACUACAGGUUCCUAGUGAACUCUGGCUGAUUAUACUUUGGAAAAUGAUCUGAUGAAGGAGUAAAGGAGAGGAGAUAAAUCACAAACUUCCCAUUUCUGUGUAUUAUCAAGGCCACAGUGUGCUACCGCUUCUUUAAAAGCACGGAGUUCAAUAGGUACCAAUGGUGUAACUUCCAUUCUCCCCUCGUAAAAAAAUAGAGUUCAUGGGAUCAUAGGACUGUAGAGUUCAAAGGGACUGUGCGGGUCAUCUAGUCCAACCCUCUGCAUUGCAGGAAUCUUUUGCCAAAUGUGGGGCUCAAAUCCACAGCCUGGAAAUUAAGAUUCUCAUGCUCUACUGACUGAGCUAUGCAGCUGAAUAAAUUUGGCAUUCUGUUCUGCCACAGGAGGCAAUUCUAAAGGACUUCCUCUGUGGAAUCAAAGGAAAGGAAAAAGUUUUAAAACAGAGAUAUUUGGGGUGUAUAGGCAUGGGAAUUAAAAGGAAGCUAUUUCUGCUAGCUUGCCUCCAUAUGUAUGUAUGGGAGAAUCUUGUUACUUUCCAUUUCUCUCUGUUUCACAUUUUUCCAAUCUUAAGUUUAGUUCUCCACGCUGUUUCAACAUCAGUUUGUGAUUUAUUUACUUUUUAAAAAAGUUUUCAUAGAAAUUCACCAGCAUUUUCAUGUCAAGUUCUCCUAAUAUAUAUGCAUUUCUACACAAUUUUGUCUAGUUUACACAUUUUUGAAAAUGCAGUUUUGGAUGAUAUAUGCAUUUAUAUGCAUAUUUUACCAUAUGUGUUUGUGUAGAUGCGUGUGUGUGAAUCUCUUCUCUCUCUCUCUCUCUCUCUCUCUCUGUGUGUGUAUACAUACUGUAUUACUUGUCUAGAGAACUGCAUUGCAAGAUGUGAAUUUCAAAGGAUGGCUGAGGUCCGGUUCACCUAUUCUUUGGGAAAGUACUAAUUAGCUAUGCUCGCCUUUAAAUGCAAACUGAAUCAAUUUUCUCUCCCAUCCCCAUCUAUGCAUUUGUACGGUAUUCACAACCACAGCAUUGCAAUUUCUAGGCAUGGUUAUUCUGGAAGGGUGCUUUCUUGUCAUAUCAAAGACAGUUAAAUGGUAAGGAGGAUAUAUGCUGAGCUUCAUCAAUUUUCAUGUUAUGCCUGCUUGGAAGUCACUGCCCUCAAACCUGAACACUAUCACCUGCUACCCUAGAUCUGUAGGAAUGGAAGGUGAUGAGUGACUCAAUGGUGAGGUUCUUAUUUGUCUGCAUUUUCUACUUUAAAAUUCAUUCCUUGGCAGAAAUGAGCCCUUGGAAGUAGAGGAAGUUGAUUUAAAAGUGUGACAGAUACAUUUUUUUGUUAAAAAGAAUCCAUAUUUGGAGGGUCUUUGUGUCCUGAGAAAUGUGUCCUUAGCUUUUCUUAUGCCCUUCAGACUCUUUUCUCUCCUGUAUCUCUUGCAUGUUGCCAAGAGCCAAGUGCUCAAUAAAGGAGACUUGAGGCCGAGUCUAAUACAUCAAAGUCAAGGCCUGAAAGUUUCAGAGGAAAGUUUCGCACACAUCCCUCAGCACAGUGUAAAUGUGUAACGCUCAGCAACACUUAAAGAAAUCAUUCCUCAUUCAAAAUUCAUUAUAUUGUAGCUGCAGUUUUAUUAGGAAGCUGGUCGUUUCUAUCGAUUAACCCGAGGAUGUUGUGGAAACCUGAGACAAAUGGAAAGUGCCCUCAAGAGCAAACUGUGACUUCAGAACAGUACAUAAACACAAAUGGAAAGAACCGACCACUGUGCUUUACUCAGGCAUGAUGAGGAAUAACAAUGCACAAGCAGGUUGGCCUACAGAAGGUUCCAGGUAUCUCCACGCAGGACUAAGAAAUUUCCUUGUCUGAAAUCCUGGACAGCCACUGCCAGUCAUUGUUGACAAUACUAAGUUACAUGGACCAAUUAUCUGCCUCAGUAUAAGGCAGCUUCCAUAUAAGGCAGCUUCCCUAAGAUGGUGGUUCACUAAUAGGCCCUCUAGAAGUCUAAAUCCAGGCCUGAGCAGACAGGUAAGGAUCCAGACCCAUUUCUCUUCUGGAUUUCUUGCCGCAAACAUCAUCUCCACAACUGAUUGUGACUGGGAAUUCCACAUGAGCUGUUUUACUUGGGAAGGGAGGACAAGAAAGGUCUGGAAAGGCUUUAGAGCUUUCUGUUUGGGGGCAAAUCUUCUUGAGAGCCAGUGUGGUGUAGUGGUUAAGAGCGGUAGUCUCGUAAUCUGGGGAACCGGGUUCGUGUCUCCGCUCCUCCACAUGCAGCUGCUGGGUGACCUUGGGCCAGUCACACCUCUUUGAAGUCUCUCAGCCCCACUCACCUCACAGAGUGUUUGUCGUGGGGGAGGAAGGGAAAAGAGAAUGUUAGCCGCUUUGAGACUCCUGAAGGGGAGUGAAAGGCGGGAUAUCAAAUCCAAACUCUUCUUCUUCUUCUUGUAAAUGGGCAUGAACAGAUUUUGCCAGAGGUGAAUCCAUUUUCAUCCUUUCUAAGGGUGUGGUUAGACAUUAACAGAGUUGUGUUGAGAAGUUCUCCUGCACCCCUUCCCCCAAUUCUCCAUCAGUGACUGAGAAAAGAAAUGGCAUUCAAAAAUUACUCAAAGGGGGACUUUGGGGUGUGUGAAAUUCUCAUGGGUUGGGUACAGGGGUUUUGUUGCAUUUACCAUACUUUUUAAGUGGCUGUUUGUGAGUGUCCUAUGAAUCAUUUCACAAGUGGUCUGCACACUGCAGCCUCCCUGGGUGCCUGAGAUUCAAUCAAAGGGCAGAAGAAGCCACCAUCUGCAGAUUAGGAAGCAUGAACAGAUGGAGUGAGGCUGCAGAGGGCCAGAGAAAUGUUUACUAGAAAGCAAAGCAAAUGCACCCCGCAUGAUCACCUUGCAACAGUACAGUAAUCUAAAAAUUCCACACAAACAGUAAUUCAGAAGAAAUUCUAAAGCGCCCAGGGAAGGAGGCAGAAAAGUAAAAGCCUCUAUUGCAGAGGAGGAAAACCUUAGAGAAACUGCGGGAUGAAUUUUGGCACAUAUUUAUAUUAGUGAGACAGAGUAGGACUUGUUCACUUUGAAAGCUUUUACCAUGGAUGACUGGGUGGGAAAUGUCACCAUACAAAUGAUAAAAUGGGACCACUCUGUCCUGCUUUGGAUCACUGGGUAUGUUGGUUCAGUACUGAAUUAUUCUGUUAAAUUCCACAUUCUGGACAGAUGCUCAUUUUGUAGCAUGAACUGGGUGCUUUGGUUUAUCUCACCUGUCCAGUUUCCCUAUUUGCUUGAGUGUUUUAGCACCAAAUCCCCAUAAAAAUAGAGGUCAUAUAAAAUGGUGUGCAUGUACAGAACACAAUUCUGUAUUUCAAGUUUGGAUAUUGGACCUUGCAUCCAUUUUGGAGGAGAUUAGGAAAGAUGUAAAAUGCUGCUGCAGUUUGGGAGUCUCCUUGAGUAAUGAGAAAGCCCAGUGAAGCUUUAUUAUAUAGCAAUAUUAGAUAUAUUAGAUUAAACUCUUUUAGAAGUUCAAACAGCAUUUAAAUCCCUUCAUUUUCAAGAAACAGAAGAAAGGGCCAAACAAAACUGAAGUUUGAACUCAUGAACAUUGGGUUUUAUUAAUUAAAAUAGAUAAAACUUGUGGUGGAAGGCAAAGUUCAACAAUAGCAUUCAAUAGGCUGCAGUCCUACCCAAGUCUUUCUAGUGUGAACGAGCACUAUAUAUUUUAAGAUACUUUUUUUUUACCUUCUGCUGAGAAAAUAAAAGUCUUUUGUUCAAGGUCACAGACAAAUUUACUUGCAACAUGAUAGUUUUUGCAGUUGCUUAACAGCAUUUCUUUCUCAAAGAGGGAGGCAUAAAAAAAGAGAAGAAUUUAAAAUAAAUAUGUCCUUUGUUAUUUAAGGUAAGAACAUGAUUCACAUUUGUGGCCUAGACUUGUAUUAUUUAACAAGGUUCCCCCACCCCCCAAUGUGAUUCGGUAAUUUCAUGUUUCCAGAAUGUCAACAAGGGUAAUAAAAUAGCAAUUUAAAGCGGCAUUAAAAGCUAAAGUAAAUGGCAUGAUUCUUCUGAAGCUAUUAUGACAAAAGUACUCCUGUUUUUACACAGCUUUGCACUGUAAAAAGAGACUCACUUAUGUUACCAAUUCACUUUUGGAUGCUUGUUCACUCAUUACAUUUUUGAGGCUGUUCUGUAAUAUUGGACUGGACGGAGGUUAUAAGAAAAGGAUCAAAGUAGCUAGUGCUGCUUUGUAGCAUCUGAUGAAUGUGAGAAGCUGCUACUCCUCUUGUCUUAGGGAACAGCCCUAACUUCCUACCUCACCCUGGUAGGGCUUUAUGGAGCAGUAGGGUAGCCCUGCUGUGCAAAGCAGCUGAGGCUGUAGCAGAAGUGACAGUGAUUGGCCUAGCAUCGCACAACAGCAGUGGGCUUGUCACAGGAUCAAAUGGCUUAGGCCAGCCCCUUCUCUGCCCCUGUGUGAAAAGAAAGCCCAACCUGGGAACUCCUACUUGUGAGUGGGGAUUCCGCAUUAUCAGGACACCCACACAAGCAGGUAGGCUUAGAGCACCUGCUUUUAACUUCACACUCAUGUUCCACAUGCAAAUAAUGGAUAAAGAGGGUUGUUGUCUUGAGACAUACUGGCCACAUUCCCAGUCUAGCACUGAUACCAUUUUAAACAGUCCUAACUCCCCCCAGAGGAUUCUGGGAGCUGUAGUUAAGGGUUCAGAUAAUUGCUAGGAGACUUCUAUUGCCCUCACAGGCCUACUAUUCUCAGAGCAUUUAAACAAUCAAACCCUCUUCCCAGUGAACUUUGGGAAUUGUGGCUUUGUGGUGGGAAUUGGGGUUUCCUACAGCUCUCAGCAUCCUUAACAGUCUACAUUCCCAGAAUUCUUUAAGGAAAGCCAUGACUGUUUAAAGUGAUAACAUAAGGCUUUAAAUAUGUGGUGUGAAUGUUGGCUCUAUAUACAGGGCUCUGGAUGACAAUAAGGCCAGUUCUUCCUGUCUCCCUGGCUGCUGGUUUCUGUACUCAUUCCACCACUCCUCUGAUUGGUGCAAUAGGAAAUCCAAAGCAAUGCCCUUCCUGCCUUCAGUGCUAUUUUUCUAGAAAAAGAGGUGCUGGAACUCACCAUGAACACCUCCACUGUUCUCUUAUAAUAGCAAUGGCACCCACCUUGAGAAGUGCUGGAACUGAGUUCCGGCUGAAAUAAAGCCCUGUCUGUCAUCAUGUGAAAUUUAUGACUGCUGCCCAGCAUGCCAGCCUCCACUAAAAACUGUAAUGCCAUUCUUGCACUUUGUGUGCCAAUCUGCUCCUGCUAAAUCAUCCAGUUCUCUUAGUUCUUCAUAUCAUAUCUGAAGCAGGCAUGUUCUCUUUUUGAAAAAGCAAAUUAAUGGGUAGUUUCUAGGAUGUAUAUGUUGCCUUUCCUUUCCUCUAAGGUAGCCACAAACAAUUUUAAUUCCCCCCCCCUCAUACCUAUACCAGGCUUCAAGGGACGCGGGUGGCACUGUGGGUUAAACCACAGAGCCUAGGACUUACCGAUCAGAAGGUUGGUGCUUCGAAUCCCCAUGACAGGAUGAGCUCCCGUUGCUCGGUCCCAGCUCCUGCCAACCUAGCAGUUCGAAAGCACAUCAAAGUGCAAGUAGAUAAAUAGGUACCGCUCCAGCGGGAAGGUAAACGGCGUUUCCGUGCGCUGCUCUGGUUCACCAGAAGCGGCUUAGUCAUGCUGGCCACAUGACCUGGAAGCUGUACGCUGGCUCCCUCAGCCAAUAAAGAGAGAUGAGCGCCACAACCCCAGAGUUGUCUGCGACUGGACCUAAUGGUCAGGGGUCCCUUUACCUUUAUACCAGGCUUCGGCGUAGUAAAGGUGCAAAUUGUACAGCACACAGAAUCCCAAAGUUAGUGAGGCUGAAAGAAAAACUUCACUGAGUAAUACCCACAUCUCGAAGCAGUCAGAGGCACAAUUCAGGGAUGGAAACACCCCCAAUUUAAUGGAUGCAGUGAUACUCCUUUAUCUUAUUCCUUAUCUGAGUGUGCAAACUGAGACAUUGUAUAGCAUGCUGAACUACUGAGUAUCAGUGAUGAAUAUAGUUUGGCUAAAAAAUAAAAAAAGCAUGGCAUGAGGUCAUACAGAGGGGAUCUGGGAGGGGAAAUAAGGGACUGCUCUAUUGUAAUAAUGCAGAACCCCUAAUAAAUUAUAUAUAAAAAAGAACACUUGAAAAACUCUGAACUCAGCAAUGCAAAGUGGUCUAAAACAAAUGGAGAAUUGCCAACUGAUUAGGAGCCUUUUCUUUUGCUUGCUUGCAAGAUUAAGGGUAUCUGAGAUUGUUAGUUUAGGUUUCCUGUAGAAAAGUGGGGUUAAAAUAAAUAAAUACAUUCAGUAGCACUUUGAACUCAUGCCUGCUUAGUGAAAAAUGCUGGGUAGAAGUCAGUACAUUUCAUUUAUCUUUUUUAAAGGAAAGAUCAGGAUGGCUUCCCUGUGCAUGGAAUUGCAGUAUUUUACAGUUAUUGACAUGAAAAUGCAUUUGUCUCAUCUAAAAUGAGCUGCAUGGAGCAUGUCGCUCGAUGACUUGCUUUACUAAUAAUGUACAAAAUAUAUGUCGAGCAUAUGCAUUUACUACAGAAAGAUGGGCAUUUUAGCUAAAGACAUCCUCUUAAUAAGUCAGGCAUGAAACACCCCAAGAGAAGUGUGUUUGAUGUUUUUUUAUUAAUUAAAAUGCUUAAGGAAUUCAAAAGGAAAUAAUUUAUUCCCUGCCAGUCAUGUAAUUUUAGUGAAGUUGAAUGGGAGGGUAAAAAUGAAUCAGUUUUUUUGAACUGUAAUCCAAUUUGAAAGGGAGAUUUUUAUUUUAUUUUUUGGUAAUGGAAGAAAGACUUCACUUUUGUACCAAUUUUACGAGAUCGUUUGUCACUAGAGAAAUUGGAGUUUAAAUUGCAUUAGUGUUUCUGUCCAAUUACUGCUUCACUUUGGCUUCUCUUUCUGCCCUGGUUCCUAAACUUUUUUUUAACAACAAAAUAUGAUAUUACAGAAUAAGUCACUCUGGUGUUCUUUAUCUGGGUCUACAAUUCCCUAUUAGCACAAAACCUGAACGGAAGUGAAACACUAGGACUUUUAGAGAUUUGCUUUUUACUCCAAUUAGUUCAUGCUGAUCCCAACUAUAGUGUCAAACUAGAGAAAUGUCCUUAUAAGUGAUUGACCAAACAGCACAUCUAACUGCAUCCAUGACUGAUCAUAGAUGAGCUCCCAUGCUGGGAGACUAGAAGCCUUGACAAAAAACAAUUUCCAAUAAUCUCUGUAUUGGGAAAUUCUUGUUGGUAUUGUUAUGUGCCCACCCAUGCUUGCAAACUAUAGUUUCCAAGAAUUUUCUGCAUAGAACUUGCAUAAUUUUAUCCACCUCUAACAUUUUCCUCUUAUUCCCCUUUACUCUAAAGUAAAAAGCUCUAAACAUUUUAACCUUUUCUCAAAGAGAAGAAUGUUCAUCCUCUUGAUUAUGUUUUGGUUGCCUUUUUUUUUAGGAAUGGAGGGAUCUGCCCAUUUCAAUUCUCAGUUCCUCAUUUUUCCAGUUUCAAAUUCAGUUUGUUUUGCAGCAAUUUGUGAACUUGGGGGGGGGGGGGGAUCCUCUUGAAAAUUUGUCAACAUUUUUAGUGUGAAUUUGUUUAAUGUACACAUAUUGUUUUGCAAACAUUUCCCCUCGAUAUAAUGCAUUUUGCAUGUUCUUUUCACUAAUAUCUUUAUUUUUAUGUACACAUCCCCCUAAUAGAUGCACUUUGGUAAACAUUUUAUCAUUAGAGAACUGGGUUGCAAAAUUCAGAUAUCAGUGUUUUGGUGCAUGCGCAAAUUCGAUAAACUCAGCUUUAAACACAAACUGAAUUGAAUUUAUCCUCCAUCCCUAGCCCUUUUCUGAACCUUUUCAGCUCCACAAUAUACUUUCUGAGGUGAGGAGAAUUCCUUACCCAGGAAUUCUGUACCCAGAAUUUCAAGUGUGGUUGCAUAAUUGAUUUGUAUAAAGGCAUUAAGAAAAAUAAAAGAGGACUCGAGAAAGGCCCCUAUCUCAUUUGACAGCCUCCUACUCAGCUUAAUAUGGCCAUGUGUAGCUGCUGAACUUGUCUGUUAUCUAGCUUCACAUUUCCGAAGCAGAGGCAGUUAUCUUCAUGUCUCAUAAAAAUAAAAAUAAAGUAUUGAGAGAAGAACACCUAGCUGGUUUUUUCUCCCUCCAAACAAUCUGUUUCUCUUUUAUUGCUGGUGCUGUCAACUGACUUAGUUUGUAUCAUUAAUUAGCAGAGUCAAGUCAUAAAGCCUUUCAUGGAUUGCCACACCAUCGGACUGCAGGUGGGAGCUGUGUGUUUGAAUUUUGUGAAGCAUAUACAGCUCCCUGCAAGAAUGGCAGAGAGAAGGCUCUGACCUAGCUUCUUCUAGUAGAUACUGGUAUAUUCAAACAUGUAUGCUUCAACAGUUCAUUGAAAGGUUACUGCAUGACUCUGGAAGGGAGGCGCACGGGAGGGUAGUUUGUCUCACAAACACAAAAAGAAGAUAGUGUCUGUACAAUUUGCCUCCUAUCUUAGGUUCAACAUAAGCAAAAAGUUUACUCAUUUUUUAAAAAAUGAAACCUGGGGAGCUGGAUAUUAUAGUAAGUUAGGGCAGUGGAGGGGGGGUGACGUGGCCUCCCUGUGUUAUGUUGGUUCAUCUAAAAAGCCCAUUCCUGCCUGUUUUGUAUCUUUUUCUUUCUCUCUGUUCUGGGUUAUUCUAGGUGUAGUAGGUGGUUCUGUUAACUUGGUGCAACAGUGUGGUUUCUGCUCAGAGGAGGGUAGGAUCUGCAAUCAAAUGUAAUUAAUAAAUAGAGUAGAUAAGAAGUUCAAAGUGCACUCUCUCUCUCAUACUAGUAUAGAUCUAGGGUGGAAGCCUAGAUCUGUGACCAUUCUUACAAACCUGGGAGCAAGUGUUAUUGAAUUAUAAGUGUGAGUUUUAUUUAGUAUUUCUAUUUUAUUUAUUAAAUUUGUAUACCACCCUUAAUCCAUAGAUCUCAGGGCAGUUAACAACAUAAAACUACAAUAUGUUUAGGAUUCAGGCAGAUGGAGGCUUUGUUCCACUUCCAUAGAGCCCCCCCCCCCCAGGGGGAGGGACAUGAUGGCAUUAUUAAGACCCACUAUUGGGAAACAAAAACCUUAGAUUGUGGUUUGCUAUGAGUAAUGUGAAAGCAACAAAACAUGAGAAAGACCUUUCAUUAAUGGCUCACACUAGACAAAAUUGACACCUUAAAUCAACAGGUGAUUCUCACUUACAAUAAAAAUAGUGGCAGCUUCUUCUCUUCCUCACCAGCUCAGAGGCACCUGGAACAUAAUACGAUGGGGAGGGUUAUUCAUCACCCAAGUUUGUGGUUUACCUUCUGUUGAAGAACAUUUGAAAUGGGAUUUGGUUUAAUGUCAUUCGAAUGGAAAUUUUCCCCAUUGAAACGUACAAAAAAUAGUCACCAUCAGACUGACACUACACUGACAUCUUGUAACAUUGUUUUGCUAUUCAAUUACCGCAUGCACUGUUGGCCUUCAUGGGUCUCACUGCCGGACUCCAUGAAUUUGAGAGUUCACCUGGAACACAUCCAGCACCCACCUGAGACUGCAUGUUGCAGGAGAAGCCUGGUCUAGGUGGCAGAUCAGCGAGUCAUCUGCCAUUGGCGAUCUUUUUCAAUGAAGAGUCUUCAUAAGCUUCUGUAGAACCUUAGAAUCAUAGAAUCAUAGAAUCAUAGAGUUGGAAUAGACCACAAGGGCCAUCGAGUCCAACCCCCUGCCAAGCAGGAAACACCAUCAGAGCACUCCUGACAUAUGGUUGUCCAGCCUCUGCUUAAAGACCUCCAAAGAAGGAGACUCCACCACACACCUUGGCAGCAAAUUCCACUGUCGAACAGCUCUUACUGUCAGGAAGUUCUUCCUAAUAUUUAGGUGGAAUCUUCUUUCUUGUAGUUUGGAUCCAUUGCUCCGUGUCCGCUUCUCUGGAGCAGCAGAAAACAACCUUUCUCCCUCCUCUAUAUGACAUCCUUUUAUAUAUUUGAACAUGGCUACCUAAUCUGAACACACACUGUGUUUGAGCUACUUAAGCUACUCAGUCACCUAUUAUCCUUUGUACCUCAUCUGUUCUGGAAUCUGUAUCCAUGUUUUCAAAGAUCACUGAUCAUUUUAUGGCACUGAUUGCACACAUGCUAUUUACCAUUGUCAAGGGAAAUGCACACUUAAUUUGUUUUUCAUAUUCAACAUGACUAACUAACUGCACACCUGUGUGUAGCAUUUAGUUAGCAUUAAUUACCCAUUGUCACAGCUGCAAAAACAGUGAUUACAAUAUAGUUUGGAAUCUCUACACAGGUCUUUAUGAAAUCGCUGAUUUCCUGCACCCUAUUCAUCUAGGGUGGUCCAGUGCAAAAGCUUUGGCUGGGGAAAAACCAGGGUUCCGGUUUCUCAUUCUGCCACAAACUUACUGGAGUAAGCCUGUCUGUAAAAGAGUCCAUCUACUUGUUCAAGGGAUGACUUGGGGAAGAUUUGAAUCAGGUAAUGUUUCUCAAGCAUUAUGCUUUAUACAAAUGAAUGGUUCUAAUUGUACAUGACAGAGCCUAACACAAAACUUGCUUUUUCUGUCAUCCCAAUACAAUUAUCCUUUGAAAUGGGUUGUGAUCUCAGCUGAUCUAUGUUGCACCCAAUCAAGAGUAAUUACACCCCAGCCAAUAUGCAGUUGCCAAUUUGGCAACCGUACGAGCUCAAAAAUGAAGGAUCUGCUUAUUGUGUCUCAUCAUAGCUCAUAUCGUAUUUAUAGUGCUGUUACUCUGGAAAUGCAAGCUUGUACCCUAUUUAUGUCAUUCAAAGUAGCUGCAAUUUUUGGUGGAAGGCUUUAAGGACAUUUUUUUUGGCAAUAUUUCUUAAAUCUAUUUCCUGGUCAUUAUGCUGGAGCACUUUUCCAUUUAGCUGCUGCUCAUUUUACUCCUUCCUCCCAUGCUCAUUAUUCUCUUUUUAUCUUUACUGAGCUGUGUUUGGCAUCUAUUAACCUAGGUCCUUCAAAUCACGUAUAUAAACAAAAUCAAGGCUGUGCCUGUCCAACGGUGAGUGGGGGAAAACUAUGUAUGGGAGGGGGAACACUACCCACCUAGUCCAUCUUUGCAGAACAAGAACAGAAAAGAUUAGACUAUGCAACAUUCUCUUAGGCAACAAGGCAGUUUAUAAAUCAACCUUUACCCAGAGUGCUCAGGAUUCAUUUUAUUUCGUACAAAUAUAGCAUUGAAUGUGAUUGAUAUUCAGUAGCAGUGAUAUCAUCAGCUGUUGUAGACAGUUGUGAGCAUUUUGCCUAAACUGGACUUAAUACUGGGUUGUGUGAGGGUGUAGUGGUAGGACACAACAUUGACCUUGUGAUGACUGUGGACUUUCUACAUUUGAAGAUGCAUAAAAAAAAUGACUUGAACUGGGGAGACUUGGGUCCUAAUCCUCAGUGAGCCACAAAGCCAGUGGGUAAUCUUGGGGCAGUGACUAUCUCUCAGCAUAACCUUACCAGUUCGGGAUUCAUGUGUUACUGUCAGGAGCGAGCUGGGAGGUAACCACAAUAUGCAAGUCUUUAUUAGCAAGAACAUGAUCUGCAUAGACUUGGCGGAGUGCCAGGCCUGAUGAGCACAGCAGCUCAUCCCCAGCAGGUUUUGCCCCCUGUCUCCCUACAGUCGUCCAAGUCCCCUCUUCUCUAGGGUUCCCUCCAAGCAAUCAGAGACUGCAUGUGCAUGAAGCCAACCUCUGACCCCACCCUUUUCAUGCCUCUUCUGGUUCUGGGAGACAAGCAGGGAGUGGAGCUUGUCACAGUAGGAGGAUGCGAGUGACUUGUGUCCCCACCCUUCCUUGUGCAGCCACAUACAGGAAACUAAUGGUACCUCCUAAACUCCUGAUCCUACUGGGUUUUCUGCUAGGAAUGGGAGAGAAUGUCCAUGGGAUUAAUGAUAUCAACUUUCUAUGAAACACCCUUGCAUUAGUGAGCAACAAACCUUAACAUUCCCCUUCUAAAAGUCCUUUGCUAUAGAAUUUUCUCCCCUCAAACAGUUCAUGAACUAAAAAAGAAUCUCUAACAGAACAAUGCCUUCCUCGGAGCCUUUGAUAAUUGGCAUAUUUCUGCUCCCACUGGGAUGUGCCAAUUAAGGGAAUCAGUUGUUUCACUGUGUCUACCUCAAGUGGGUCUUAGGUUCUCCACUGUCAUUGUUGGGAGCUUUGGUGAAUCAUCGUAUUUUAUUAGAAAGUCUAAUAAGGGUAUGAAGACAUUCAUGGGUUUUCUCUUAUUUAAUGUGCUCCAGUAGUUUUGUUCAUUUAAGCACUUUCUCUUCUAUUACCAUUUCUGUCACCGGAUACAGUCUUCAACAUGACUUUCUAUGCAACUUCACUUCAUGCUUUGAAAUGCUCACUCAUUGUUACUACAGGCCGUUAUUAACUCACUCCACCACAAAUUGUCAUAUAGUUUGCACACCAUCUUCUUUCUCUAAUCCAGGGGUUACCAAUGCAGUGCUUGGAGGUGCCAACUGAGCCUGCCAGUACCUCCAAUGGUACCCACAAAAGGUCUCAAUAAGUGUCUUAAAGGUAAAGGUAAAGGAACCCCUGACCAUUAGGUCCAGUAGUGGCCGACUCUGGGGUUGUGGCGCUCAUCUCGCUUUAUUGGCUGAGGGAGCCGGCAUACAGCUUCCGGGUCAUGUGGCCAGCAUUACUAAGCCGCUUCUGGCAAACCAGAGCAGCGCACGGAAACGCCAUUUACCUUCUCGCCAGAGCGGUACCUAUUUAUCUACUUGCACUUUGAAGUGCUUUUGAACUGCUAGUUUGGCAGGAGCUGGGACCGGACAAUGGGAGCUCACCCCGUCACAGGGAUUCGAACCGCCAACCUUCUGAUCGGCAAGUCCUAGGCUCUGUGGUUUAACCCACAGCGCCACCCACAUCCCAAUAAGUGUCUUACCUCCUCAGAAUUGCACAGUGCACAGGAUACUGUUUUCUCUUGCUCAUCUCCUGUUUUGUAUUUACUUGCUUCAGUUUUUAUUCAAGGUUUCCCUGAAAACAAAUGUCAUUUGACAAUAUAUAAACAUCAUAAAUAAAUACCUUUGGUUCUUUGUAAUACUAGAAAAUGGAGAUGCUGCAGAGAUCUAUCUUAGGUUCAGUGCUGACCAACAUCUUUAAAAUUGACUUGUACGAGGGAAUAGAGGAGAUGUUCAUCACAUCUGCAGAUGACACCAAACUGGGAGCCGUAGAUAAUACCUCAGGAGACAGGAUCAGGAUUCAAGAUGACCUUAACAGAUUGGGGAACUGGGACACAACUAACAAAAUGAAUUUCAAUAGGGAUAAAUGUAAGGUUCUACAUUUAGGCAAGAAUAAUCAGAUGCACAAAUAUAAGAUGGGCGACAGCUUGCUUGACAGCAGUACAUGUAAAAAAAAAAUAUCUGCACAAUAUGACAAUUACUCCUAGUGAUGCUAGCAUUGGAUAGUCUUUUCACAAGCCCCUUUUAUCACAUAAAUACUGAGAAAGAGAAUGUUAGCUCAUAUGGAUCGGAGCUUCACAUAUGGCAUUUCCUAGGGCAGACCAUUAAAUAAAAUUAGGAUUAAUGGCUGUGGAAUAAAACACUAACAUCACCAAAAUCCAGAGUCAUUUUCAGUGAAAAAGUAGAUUGUGCCAUACACUGUAAGGUUGGUAUACUGGCAUUCAAAUUAACCAAAAGAGGACAGACGGACAGGAAUGAUUUAAUGCUUGGCCACAUGAAAGACUUAUUUAAUGGCACUUUGUUCUUGGGUGUUUUGAAGAAACAUCAAUGCUACCAAAAUAAUGAAAAGGUCAGAAGCCGAUUGUAAUAAAUUAGGAAAGACUGAGCCAAUUUUCAACACCUCUGUUGCAUCCAUUUAAAUUAGUGUUCUUUUUUUAAUAAAAAAAAUGAAAUUCUGUGACAUUCACACUUUGAUUAAGGAUAACGAAAGGGCCAAGCCAGCCUCAAGAAAGCAAAACAGAGUCAGGGACAGUAAAAGUCACAUAAAUUCAUCGUUGUUGUUUUUUUUUCAAAGAGAACAACAACAAAAGGUUUCAGAGGAGCAGGGUGUGUUACAUUGCUAUUCCAUUAGCAUCAAACAGUGAUCUCUUCAAAGCAAACUUAAUUGUCGAUGUGUGAUGAAAGAGCAACAACAAAAAUGUUGGGUAUUGCUUGCAUUGAUGGGACACAGCAGUUAUACUAUACUGGGAGCCCCACACAGAAAAAGACAUUUUGCCCAAAUGGUCUGCUUCAGAGGCGGCUACCCUGGGGGGAGGUCACAUUUACCCAUAGUGAGAGGAUCCAGAGGUUGCAUGGCACCCCACACUCUUGCAUGCACACAAACACACUGGACUCUCUACUCCACUGAUACCUGCAUAUCAACUGUGCUCAUCAACUUAUCAAUCUGGUAAUCAGAGAGGAGGCUGAUAGAAAUCCCAUUAGGAUGCAAACUUUUCUGCCACCCAAGUGCUAUAUCUAUUUGCACCCUCCCCUCUGCUCUUUUUUCUGUCCCUUACAAAAAUGGUAAGGUUGAAUGUGUGUGCGUAAAAACCAGCCAGUGGCAAAUUAUUGGAACCAACUCACAAUCCAAUUCAAAAUUCAGAAUUUUAACAAUCAUGUUUUAGUUUUGUAAAGCAAGCUGAAUCAAGCCUUUAAACUAAAGAGAAAAGCAUAUCAGCAGAAGUCAGAGAAAAGCUGAACAGCUUUGCCAGUUAUAGUGGUGGCUGUGUCUCAGUGCUUUCCCCUCCGUCAUGACUACUACAAGAACCCUAUUUGAAAACCUUAGAAGAUAAAUUAAUUAUCAAAUUAAGCACAUAUAUGAAAACUUGCUUUAAUGCACGUAAUGCAUUAAAAAAAAUUAAUGUAUUUAACUCAGAAUCUGGAUCUCUUUCCUACACAAUUUAGAUUUAAAUUUGUUUUUCACUGUUUUCACUGUGGAAACCCCAAUUCCUGUUUGUUCCAACUCAGCCAUAAAUAGUGGGUUUUCCCAGCAAAAGGAAGUUUGGAAGAGCCUAGAGUCUAAUCAGUCAUGAUCAUAUUCUCUUCCACCAUACAAAAAAUAAGUAUACUUGUUUUCUCAGAAUAAUAAGCAAAUUGUUGUUGUUUAGUCGUUUAGUUGUGUCCGACUCUUCGUGACCCCAUGGACCAGAGCACACCAGGCACUCCUGUCUUCCACUGCUUCCCGCAGUUUGGUCAAACUCAUGCUGGUAGCUUCGAGAACACUGUCCAACCAUCUCGUCCUCUGUCGUCCCCUUCUCCUUGUGCCCUCCAUCUUUCCAAACAUCAGGGUCUUUUCCAGGGAGUCUUCUCUUCUCAUGAGGUGGCCAAAGUAUUGGAACCUCAGCUUCACGAUCUGUCCUUCCUGUGAGCACUCGGGGCUGAUUUCCUUAAGAAUGGAUAGGUUUGAUCUUCUUGCAGUCCAUGGGACUCUCAAGAGUCUCCUCCAACACCAUAAUUCAAAAGCAUCAAUUCUUUGGCGAUCAGCCUUCUUUAUGGUCCAGCUCUCACUUCCAUACUUCACUACUGGGAAAACCGUAGCUUUAACUAUAUGGACCUUUGUUGGCAAGGUGAUGUCUCUGCUUUAAGCAAAUAGCACUAGACAAACUUUUACAACUUUUGUUCUGACACCCAGUGUUCAAAAUAUAACAGUUGCUAUUUCUUAUCUUCUCCUUCUCUGUUAGGAUUCACCCGUCUAGGGGCUUAUCCCCACACUUCCUCUUGUCCCACUACUUCCCCUACCCUACCCCCCCGGGGGGGGGGAACGCUCUUUAGCGCUCAAUCGGAGCAAACUGCAACUCAAGCUUGCUCUAGAUUGAUGUUUGCUCCUAUUUAGAGCAAGGGUUUCCUUGGGAAGGGUGGGGCAAGGGGAAAACUACUCAGACCCGUGCUUUCUAGGUAAGGGACAAGCUGAAGUGUGAACAGGCACUAAUUCAAUAAGCUUUUCUGAGGCUGGUUGUGACCAUUGCCAUUUUUACUGCAGCGCAGUGCAGCGCUCACCUCCCACACACAAAUUCUACAAAUAGGGUCUUUAACUUCCCAACCAGAAAUGCAACAGCUACAUGUGCACCCCAGUGUUUUAUACUUGGUAGUCAUCAUCUGCAUGUGAGUGAAACAGGGCAGUGGUGCAAACCUGAAUAAAAUAUUGGGGGCACCCAGCUAAGUCACAUGACACAGUGAGCAUACACCAUUUGAAUGGCAUUGCACAUCUACUUAGGGGAGUGGCUCCCUCAAAUAUUUUAUUGAGGGGGGUAGGCGAAGGGACCUUGCCCUCUAGGAGUUGAUUCCUAUGAAACAGGGGUAGGCAAAUUGUUAUGUUUCUAGUCUGAGUUGCUUUUGCAUAUGUUCAGCCAUAAGUCUUUUUCAUCCUGUUUUUGCAUGAAUUUUUGUUUGGUUUUUCGUUUUUUAAAAAAGCACAUAAAAUGCAUUUAAUUAUGAUUAUUUAUGGAUCUCUUCUUACGAAGCAUCUUGAAGUAAUUUCACAUUACAAUAAAAGCAUUGCACGUGCACACACACACACACACACACACACACACACAAUUUAAUGCAGUCACAUAUAUAACAACAAUUUCAAAUCCAUUACAGAUAUGAACUAGGAUAGACAUCUGCAUUCAGAAGACUUGUCUUCAAUAGACUCUGAAAAGACAAUAGAGUGGAACCAGUGGGAUAUGUAAUGGGACAGAAUCCCAAAGGCAUAGGCACCAUUAAUAGGAUUACAACAUUAUGUGAGGAUCUGCUGAUACAGUUGUAUCUGCAGAGUUCCCACUUCUGCAAAUCACAGUGAUCAGUUGUAUAUAUAAAGGAUGAGAAUUGCUUUUUAGGUACAAUAUAUAUAUUAAGUGUACUUCCUCUCAAAAUACCCAUUUCUAAAUCACCCCCACCCUCAAAAUGCAUGUCUUAAACAUACUUUGGUUGCAAAAUCCAGAUCAUUGCAAAAUUCCUUGGAUAUUUCUGAUACGCAAAUGAGUCUGAGAGAUGUGGAUCAGAUCAGUUCAUAUCAGCAUCCUGUUGGUGAGUGUGUGGUGCUGAUAAUGCCAAGGUUGCAGGUUCGAUCCCCGUAUGGGGCAGCUGCAUAUUCCUGCAUUGCAAGGAGUUGGACCGGAUGAUCCUCAGGGUCCCUUCCAACUCUACAAUUCCAUGAUCCCUAAUGUAAAUCAAGCAUGAGAGUGAAUAACUUGCCUAGGAAAAAUAAAUGCCCCGUUCCUCCAGCAUGUGGCUUCCAUAUAGGUGUGCACCUGCUGAAAUGACUAGCAUGAACUUCCAGUUACGCAGAGGAAGUCUUAAGAAUCAAUCUUAUCCAAAGCAAUUGGUGUUUGGGAGCCCCACUGUUUCAUUGCAACAGCGGGAGUAGCAUUAGAGCGCUGCUUAAGUUUCCUGGAUUCUAAGUUUGCAUUCAUUGCCACACGCAAUGGAAUUGUUGGCAUGCAGUGUGGAGGAGGAAAACACAAAACAAUGUGCUCAAGAGAAAUGAGGUACAUGACCUGAAGUUUGUGUGUCUAGCGGUAGGGGGGAAGAGAAAAGGUGAGAAGCAGCACUAGUCAAAUGAGAGAUGCAAAGAGAUUGCCAGAUCAAGGCUGGAAUGAAUAGCACUGGCUCUGCAGUAGAGGAAGCCUUAGAGAAUUUAAUGGAGAGGAACGUUUUCCAACAUACGGAGUGCAGUGAGAGCCGCUUUGACAGGAAUGUUAAAAUCUCCCAAACAAUCAACACUUCAGCCCCAGCGAUGCUGAAAUGACAGCAACCGACACAGCUACCUAAUGAAGCAUCCUUCGUUAUCUGUUCUCUGCUGAAUCUGUGCAUCUUUUGUUGAACAGCUACAGCACAUAACAAACACAGUCAUAAUUAAAACUAGGUACAAAAAGAUGGUAGGCUGAUACUUAACUGAAAAUUCCACAUUGUUGGUAACUUACCUACUUCAGUCAAUAGGUUUUUAUGCAGCUCCCUGACAGGGCCUUUAAUGCAGGCCUGCAGCAGUGUUUCACCUUUUACCUUGUGUAUUCUUAUCAGCCAUGAAUGCUGUUAUACCGCGCUUUGUUGAGUGGGCGAUGGAGGCUUUUAAGCUUCACAAAAGGCCCAAUAUUGCUGAAAGCAGACAGAAUAUCUCUCACCCCAUCCCCCUGAGCUCAGUCUGGACAUGUGGAGAGGAAGAAAGAAUAAGACUUGCAGCCACUUUUACACCAUACAUUUAAGCUCUAUGAUAUAACUUUAAAUAGUCAUGGUUUCCCCUAAAGAAUUCUGGGAGCUAUAGUUUGUUAAGGGUGAUGAGAGUUGUCAGGAGACCCCUGUCACCGCCACCCCAGCCACAGGUCCCAGAGCUGUUUAACAAUCUAUCCCCCUUCACAAGGAACGCUGGACAAAUGACAAACUAGCUCUGAUAUUCAUAUACCAAUGAAUUCUUAUACAAAAUGAACAGAACCUCUAAGUGGUUUACAAAAAUAUUAAAAUGAACCUAUCUGAAUGGAACUAUCCCUGCAGCCUUGCCUUAAGAGCAGAGCACCUCACCCCUGACCACUGGGGAGGCUGUUUGGGGCCAGUGGAACAUCUGAGGACCCACAGCUGGGGAAGGGUGCUAUAAUUGUUUGUAAUACUUGAGGAAGUAUUGAUGCAGAAGAUGGAAAAGACCGGCAUUCUUUAAUGCCACAAGCUGGACUCAGUGUACUUUGGGAGGAGGGAGUAGGAAGCCAACGAAACGUGGGUGAGCAAGAGCAAAUGCGGAAAUGCUACCUCACAGAAGGCCUUGAGCAAAGACAAGCUAUUUCCUCCAGGGCAGGCAUCCCUAAACUCGGCCCUCCAGAUGUUUUGGGACUACAACUCCCAUCAUCCCUAGCUAACAGGACCAGUGGUCAGGGAUGAUGGGAACUGUAGUCCCAAAACAUCUGGAGGACCGAGUCUGGGGAUGCCUGCUCCAGGGCGAUUUGGGAACUGUGGACUUGGGAAGCAAGUGCCAGGGAAGAAGGCCAGAUAACAAGUAGAAGAAAUACUUUCUGUAUCUGUGCUGAAUCUUCCAACAAUCCAUUGGAUGUCUGUGAGUCCUUGGGUUCUAUCCACUUUUUCAGUGCCUUGCAUGAAUCUGUAAGUAAAGUUCAAAGCAGAGCUGCUGCCAAUCGUCAUGGUGGGGAUCAUGUAGAGGAGCUGCCUUGCUCACUGCCUGUGAUAACAGGGGCAGCACCCUUGCAAGUUGUACCCCUUUCAGAAGACCUAUACAAAUGUAAUGCUAGAAUUGCAGACUAUUGGACUAUUUCCAAGAGAAGUCCUAUGCAAAAGGCAAACUUGCAUAAGCUAAGGCGCAUCCGUCAGCCUUCGCAACUCCAUUCUGAUAUGGCAUAGCCCAUGAAGAGUGUGAACCAGGAUAAAAUUAAGAGGAGGAACUGCAAGGGGCAGAUAGAAAAGCAAAUUUGUGGUUGAGCUGUGGGCCUAAGGUUCCUUACCCUUGACAUAUAAUUAAGGCAAGGACACUAUCAAUAACAUUUAUAUGCCCAUCCAAUAAAAUUGUUUUUUGGCCUGGAGAUUUCUUUUUGAAGUUAAACCAGUCUUAGUCUUCCCCACCAUGGAAGCACAUCCCAUAACUUUCUUCACAGGUCUCUGUUUUCAUUAUCCAUCUCCGAACUGUUAAUGUUAACUGGUGGGUUCAUUCAUCAUUGCUCAGUUGCAUUUCAGCUAGGGGAGGCUUUCUUGAAGUCUGUAUUAUUACACUGGCUUUAUUACAGCCACAAAUAGCUGUGGGAGCUCAUUGAUCUCCCCUUCCUUGCUCCUUCCAAUUCAAAGAUCUGACCUAGAUUAUACUAGAUAAAACUGAAAUAUGUUUAUGUCCAUUAUUCCCAUAGGAGGCAUUUAUAUUUUGCAUUGCGAGUUAAUAGCGAAAGACUCUUUACAAGUUUUUGCAUGCAUAAAACAAAAGCUUUUAUAAUCCUGAGGAGGCAUCUUGCUGUGAUAAUAUAUUUAACUCACUUGCAGUGCUGUAAAACAGAUAAACUUUAAAUACAACAUAUUGUGCCAAAAGAUUAGAACCGACUUUGCUUGAGUUCACUAUGAGUUCAGAAAAUCAAUGUUAACAGUGUUUUUCCCUCCCAUUUUGGUUAAAAAUACAAACCGUUUCCCGUUCCCAUCACACUAUCUCUUUGCAUGCAUAGACCACAGAUAAAAGGUUUUACAAGGGGAAAAAGCAGGCAAAUUUAAUGUACAAAUAUGCUCUUAUUGGAAUUAAAGUAAUGAUUUUGUUUAGCACAUGUGUAUUCAAGAGUGAUAAGAAUUGAGAGUAGCAGAUUGGUUAGGCUUAAACUGAACCAGAAUCACAGUGAUCCAUCCUUGUAACAUGGAAAGAAAAAAAUAAUAAUUCUACUCCCACCCAUUUCUGGGUUUCCCACCCAUUAUUGAAAAUAUGGGGCGUAUGGGGUAGUAGGAGAGGGAAUACCUCUGGUGUGGGGCACAUUGUGUUCCUCCUGGGGUCAUUUGUCCACCUUUGGUCUCCACCCCCCCUGCACUCAACUCUCACCUGUGGCUCCUAGAAGCUGUCAACAUGCGACAGUGACCACACCCUGGGAAUGACUUCGACUGGCCGGCAAAACCAGGUGAGGGUAGCUAAUGGGUCUCAAACCCUCAGUGAGAUAGGCACUUACCCUACAUGUGAGAGAGGCUCCAGAGGAUUGAGAAGACAAGGUCGAUAGUGGGUCCAACUGCCAAGAAGGUGGUUUCUGCACAGGCUGUAGAGGGAAGCGAGGGGCAGAUGGGGCUCAUCAAUCUGGGAAGCCACCCCAUUUAGGAGAAAGAAAAUUCUGACCCUAAACUUCCACUACCUUGCAGGAUAUCUUUGGGAGAAGAAAAAGGCUAAGGAGUAAAACCUACACAAAUCCAGAGCGGAGUCCCUAAGAUGGUUGGAUGGUGCAUUGUACGUCUCCUUCUGGCAACUCCUGCAGCCAAGCUGGUGCCAAAAGUAUUGCUCUGCUGUGGGGAUGAGGAUGCAGUGUGGGGGUGUACCCCCACCUCAGCAUAAGACACUCCACAGGGUGUCUAGCCGCCAUGCCCACUCUCUGACCUUUUCCUUCCUCGCAGAAAGCUUUACUUAAUGUUCCACUUGGCUGAAGCAUGUCGAAUGACGCAGACUUUCGGGUAUCAGGGGAACAUUUGGGGGGAAAACACCUGUCUGACACAUGUAUUGCUAACGCUGGAAAUGUGCCUUUACUGGAAAUACCUUAUGUUCAGGGUGGUUUCACUACUGUUUCCAAUUGUUGACUUCUGCUAAUAAAAGGAGCCUUUGCAGAGCUAGCUGGCAGCUUGCUUGGAGCUUGCUUGCUAGCUUGCUCCUGCACAGCUCACAUGGAUUCAACUCCCGUGCUGUCCUCUGUUAUUUCUACACUCUGCUUUCCUCUGGAACACAUCAGUGAGGCUGAGAGGAGGAUUUUGUCACCCCAGAGCCUCCAUACACACUGCAAAUGCUUGUGCCCCAGGAGAAGUCACUUUGGUGCCUCUAAUGCAGCAGUUUGAGGCACAACUCCAGAGACAGAUGGAUUCCAACAACAGUAAAAAUAUGUUUUGGACUGAGCCACCCCAAACUUUACAACCCUUUUCACAUAUUGUGAAGUUGGAAGUAGCAUUUUGGCAAUGCAGGGUGGGGGGUAAAUAUGAUUUUGGAGCUGGCAGCAAAUCUAGCACCAGUGUCAAAAGUGCUCCCAGGAACUGUGGAAUCACAAAGACAAUCAGAAUGCCCUUGAUCUGCAGGAAGGUAAGAAAUGGUGGCCACCAACUGUUGGGACUCCCAGGAGCCCUGCCGCUGUUGUCAGAACCAACAAAAGGGCUACUGGAAUGGGCAGUAGCUCAGUGGUAGAGCAUCUUUUUCCCAUGUAGAAGGUCUCAGGUUUGAUCUCUGGCAACACUAGGUAGGGCUGAGAGAAACUCCUGCCUCAAAUCCACCUCAAACCAUCUCUAAGUAUUUGCUGAUCCACACAAAACUCAGUGUGCUUGAAUUUGGCUCAUGACAACAACAACAAAAUUGCCCUAUAGAACCAAGAGUAGUCAAAUUUUGGUCUCAUGGUAGGACUGAAAGACUGAACCUGAGCAAGGUAGAAUUUGAUGAGUGAUCUCCCCCAAACUUAGUAAGAUUUUUUUAAAAAAACAACAACAACCCUAUGUUUCUUUCUGCACUGAAACAAGAGAUAGUUUGCAUUCUGGUGUAAUUUGUUCCAGAAGUCCUAGAAGGACAGGCUUUGCUGGCAGUGAUUUAGAGACCUGUUCCUACCUCUGGUGACUUUGUGUUGGAAUUCUGUCAGCAAAAUGUAUCUUCAAAGCCAUUUCAUCCACAGUAGUUAUUACUCAGCUAGGUUCACUCAGUGAAUAAAUAUCCCCUCACGCUAACACCAAUUUUUCUUUCUUGGAGCUUUCUCUACAGCUUUUGGAAGGGAAGGGGGAGAUGACAAAAACAAGGGGAAAUAUGUUAGGAAAGGCCUGGAUAUUGGACUCUGAAGACAAACCAAACUAACCUUUCUUUGGAAGACAGUUCUGCUUCCAUGUGGAUGCAGAGGCAACUUAGUCCAGCGUCUCAUGAAAUGGUCACAUUUGCUCCUGUGACCCCAUCACUUUGAAAUGCCAGCCAUCAGACAGGAAGAUUCUGCAGCGGGAACAUGAUUGUUUUAGAUUAACAAGAGCUAUGGCUUAGUGAUAGAGCAUCUGAUUUGCCUGAAGAAGGUCCCUGGUUCAGUCCCUGGCAUCUCCACAUAGGGCUGGGAGUGACUUCUGCCUGAAACCCUGGAGAGCAUAGCUGCCAAGUGUCCCUUAUUUGGAGGGACAGUCCCUUAUUCCAGCGCCAUGUCCCGCUGCUGUCCCUUAUUGAUGGAGGUGCCUUAAAUGGUGUCCCUUAAAUUUCAAAGGAAGCAGCUCCUCUCCCUCCCUCCCUGCCGGCCAGGGAGGAGGGAGGCUCCAACUGUGCUGCUUGGCUGUGUUGCUCACCCAAUAAGAAGUCUAAGAACGACUGGGGGGGGGUGUGUGGAGCUUGCAUGCCUUGUGCUGAUCAAAUCAACUGCGUUGCCUGGGGACUCGCCUUUGCUCAGCACUUCCCAGCGGAGAGGUGACAGUGGUUUUCCUUGAGGCUUCGUUUGGCUGCUGGCUGGGCUUUCUGCCUUUGGCUCAGAGGGGCUCAGAAGUUGAACAUACCUGUGCUGAGUGCUCGGAUCGGAAUCGGAUGGAUACGUCAUCGACGGCCCACUCACCCUUGCCGGCGAAAAGGUCUGUCUGGAGUGGGGGCACAUGGUGGGGGAAAAGGAAAGGAGAUCUCGUGGGAGGGGGGGCUUUUGAAUUUGUUUUGGAGGCUCCUUCGAUUGACUUAUGGGGAAAAAGAAAGGAGCUGGUUGACUAAAAUGGUGGGUGACUGGUGAUCUCGUGGCGAGGGGGGGAGGCUGUGUGUGUGUGGCUAGUUAAUGCAAGCUGAGGGGUUUUUUGAAUGCUGGACGCCAUUUUGUUGCACGUGCUGCUGCAAACUUUGCAGUGCAAAGACAGGCCGGGGAGCCAUCUUAAGUUGAGGCUGCACAGGCCUUGUAGUGCAUGUGAUUCAGAUUCUAUUCAGUUGAACCUCUGGUUACAAAGUUGGUUGGACAGUGUUCUCGAAGCUACCAGGAUGUGUUUGACCAGACUGCAGGAGGACAGGAAGACUGGAGUGCCUGGAACAGGUGAGGCUGCAGGUCCCUUAUUUUGGCUGUGGAUCCCUUAUUUUCAAGGCUGCUGGUCCCUUAUUUUCAAAUCUGUAAGUUGACAGCUAUGCUGGAGAGCCACUGCCAGUACUGACAGUACUGAUCUAGAUGGGCCAAUGGUCUUUCUCAGCAUGAGGCAGCAUGUGUGUGUGUGUGUUUACUGUGAUUAACAAAAUAUAGAUUUUAUUUCUGUGAUGAAAUGUUUUGGCUUGUACUUUCGGCUUUAAUAAAAAUGAAACGAUACUGUUGCCAAGGUGGUACUUAUAAAACUUUGAGGAUGAAAUGUCCAGAAGGGCUUUGUGUUGGUACUAUCCUCAAGGCUGAGGCCAUGCGUUGUAAAUGCCUCUAAUGUCUGCAUCCAGAUGUUGCCUCCAUUCGCUAGCAGAGUAAGAUCCGUUGUGAGCUCUCUUGCUCAUCCUUCUUUACCUGCUCCUGUUAUUUAAUCACAGCAAUAACCAAGGUGACGAAAAUGAAGGAAUGGCUUAGCGAGGUCAAAUGCAAUAAAGCACGCAGAGCCACAAAGGUCAGGCUUAUUUAACUCUUUGUGAGAGGGUGGUUGCUGAAGGCAUCCCAUGAGUUAAAUGUACUUCCUCACACAAUUUAAGAGAAUUAGUUUGAUUCCGUGUUGGUCAUCUGCUUUUUAAUGAUUUUGUAAUGUAGUAAUGUUCUAAUUAUUUUAUUGUGCACCUCCAUGAUCUUCCCUUAUUUGUUGCUUAGAUGAUAGAUAGAUAGAUGAUGAUAGAUAGAUAGAUAGAUAGAUAGAUAGAUAGAUAGAUAGAUAGAUAGAUAGAUAGAUAGAAAGAUAGAUAUUCCUGCUGGGUAGAAGAGGUCAAGGAUAUAAACAAUACAAUGAGCUUAGAUUUGUGGAGAAGGCUCCCCACUGCAGACAUUGUCUCCAGCAUAUGGAGGGCUGUAGGGCCUCCAGCAAUGCUAUGAGAAGUCUUGAUAAGUGUCUUUCAGGAUUAAUACUGUGGAAGGGAGAGGGACCAGCAGUAGGCGAAGCCAGAGUCAGACUGGCAGAGCCACCCUCUGAGUGUCUGUCAGCCAGUGGAGGCAGGCUGAGCUUGUGGAGCAGUGCUACUAUCAAUGAUUCCAAACCCGAUGGCUAUUGCUCACAUGUUCCCACUCAAACGCUUCAACUGGUGGAAUUGACACCAAUGCAGGUACCAUGUAAUGCCCAUCCCACAUUUGUAAGAACUUGGUCAUUUAGUGUGGCAGCACCUAAACUUUGGAAUUCUCUGCCUAUUGAUAUUAAGCAGGUGCCUUCGCUGUACAGUGGUACCUCGGGUUACAGACGCUUCAGGUUACAUACGCUUCAGGUUACAGAAAUAGUACCUCGGGUUAAGAACUUUGCUUCAGGAUGAGAACAUAUUGCUCAGCGGCAGCAGGAGGCCCCAUUAACUAAAGUGGUGCUUCAGGUUAAGAACAGUUUCAGGUUAAGAACAGACCUCCAGAACGAAUUAAGUUCUUAACCCGAGGUACCACUGUACUCUUUUCAGUGCUUGCUCAAAACACUCUUACACAAGCCUAUCCAGAUGUUUAGAUAUUUGAGGUAAUCUUAACCUGCUUUAGUAUUUUAACUUUUAUAUAUUUUAGAGAAGGAUUGUAUUUUUUUCCUUGUUUUAUCUUUUUGUAGACUGCUCUGAAGGGGUUUUUUUAACAAGCAGGUGGUGUAUAAAUUUUAUGAAAUAAAAUGAAAUAAAUAAUAAUGAACUUUCUCCAGUGUCGAAGGCAGUAUGCUUCUAAAUAUCAGUUGCUGGAAACCACAGGAGGGGAGAGUACUGUCGCCCUCAGGUCCUGCUUGCAGGCUUCCUGUCAGCAUCUGCUUGGCCACUGUAAGAACAGGAUGAAGAAGAAGAGUUUGGAUUUGAUAUCCUGCUUUAUCACUACCCAAAGGAGUCUCAAAGCAGCUAACAUUCUCCUUUCCCUUCCUCCCCCACCCCACAACAAACACUCUGUGAGGUGAGUGGGGCUGAGAGACUUCAAAGAAGUGUGACUAGCCCAAGGUCACCCAGCAGCUGCAUGUGGAGGAGUGGAGACGCGAACCCGGUUCCCCAGAUUACGAAUCUACCACUCUUAACCACUACACCACACUGGCUCUCGUGUGGUCAAGAAUGCUGGACUAUUAUUAUCAACUGAAUUUAUAUACCGCCCUAUACCUGGAGGUCUCAGGGCAGUGCACAGAAAAGAUCACAAUAUAUAAAAUCAAAAUAAAAACAAUAACCCAAUAACACCCCCCCAAAAGAGCCACAUUUUAAAAGGGUAUAGGAUGUCAAUCAGGUCAACAAAAGGAACAUUUUUGCCUGGCGCCUAAAGGUGUAUAAUGAAAGCACCAGGCAAACUUCCCUGGGGAGAGCAUUCCACAGAUGGGGAGCCACUGCAGAGAAGACCCGUUCUCGUGUUGCCACCCUCCAGACCUCUCGAGGAGGAGGCACACGAGGGACCAUUGCUCUGAUCCAACAGGCUCUUCUUAUGUACUGUCCUAGGAGACCAGCCUCCACUGCAUAUGAUGGAGAGGGCUAGGGAGUAUUCCCACACCCUGCCUCCUUGUGCUAUUGGAAUCAUGUGAGGAGGGGAACAACUGAAGAGAGCCGAAACAGGGCCUAGCUGGAAACCAAAACAGCAUGAUAAUCAUGGCUCUCUCUCACCAGAUGGUCAGAAACAGAAGCUACAUAUAUUUGUAGACCAGAUCCCUUUGUAUCUUAAUGUCUUACGCAAAAUGAGACACCUCCUAUGUAAAUAAUAAAAACAAAGAAUGAUAGCACAGAUCUCUUAUAACCACUUAUCUGUUCUGUAUUAUGUAUGCUGGCCCACCCUGCACAAGUGUUACCAGCUUAAAAGGGCUUUAAUCCUCAAUGAAAUUAUUUACCAGUAUCUUCUGUUCUAUUCAUCCAGGCUAUUUGCAUUCAGUUCAGCUUUCUCAAGACAAAAAGCCACCAGAGCCUGCCUGUCUAAAGAGUUUAAGCUUAUGUGCAAUAAAGCAAUAUUACAUUCCCUUCAGAUUAGAAUAUUGUGCUGUUGAAGGGAUUAUGGUGGCACCAGUCACCAUGCAAGAAUUUGGAGGAAGAGAAAGUUUUGCAUAUUACAAAGUGACAUCUUAAAAUAAUAAUAAAAAGAGUCUUUCACAAGCUGUAAUCCUCUUCUGGAGUUUUUCCAAUAGCUUUAUGGACUUCUGUGUGAAAAAUGCUGUCAUAGUGGUUAUAUUGCAAGAUGACACCAGUAGGGGGUAUUGGAUCCAGGAGGCGAUUCUGCUUUUCUUGUCAAACAGAAAGCAAAGUGAUGCUGAACCAGCCUAAGGUUUUACUUUAAGUAGGAAGGUGAUGAGGGGGGAAAAAAUGCAAAGAACUCCUGUCAUGUUGGGUUUUGCCUGACCUUUUCCAAAACAGAUAGGAAGGAUCAUAUCACUGACAAUUCAUAUUUGGGUAUAAAAAGUUACAGUUGUCACACUGCUACCUGUUUAAAAGUUGAAGAUUUUCAGUGGAGAAUUAGCCUCACUUGGCAAGCAGAAAGCAUAGGUAUAGCAUAUGUUUGCAUGGGGAAAGAUAGUGCAAUUCAUAGCAUCCUCUUCUUGGAGUUCUCUUCCACGCUUCCACAAUAAAGCUUGGCUCACACAGGCACCUAACAGAAGUCCCACUCCAGAUGUGAGCUUGUUCCCCUGUGAGGAGGGCCAGUGAUCCACUCUCUGCACAAUUGGUAUUUUUCCAAGACAUAUUCAGGCAGAUGUGUGUACUGAGUUCCAUGCAUGCAACAGAAAUUCUCCUCCCUCUCUUCUUCCUGCGCACCCUCAGAAUCUGCUCCAGAGGUUCCUCCAACCCCCUGGAGAACAUUUUGAGUGUACACAGGGGCUGUAGGUGAGAUGAGAGGAAGUCUCCAUUGUGCAGGUGGGAGUUUGCUGAGCUAGCAAAACAGCAUCAUUGGAUAUGCCCCAACAUCCUUCCAGACAUUGCAUGCCCUUGUCUCCACUGUCAUAUCGCUUUCUGAUCUUGUCCCCAUGCUGUCCAUUUGUUGGAGCUUGUUUGCGAAGGACAAGCCUGCUGAACAAGCACAGUCUCUCCAUGACUGCACAAUCAGGGUUCCCAAUCAUAGGGAGAGCCUACAUGCAUUCAGCUGUCUUCUGAUUUCACUUAAUGCAUGGAUAAGGCUUCAGUGCAGACUUAAAUCAGGUAAAAAGACUGCCUGAUGGUUAAAUUUUCACACACAUUUGUAAGCAGCAUAGGAUCACAUUUUGGGAAAGCAGUUCCCCCUGGUGCUGGGUGAAUGUGGGGAGGGGGGAUCCUUUCACUAACCCCCCAUGAUAUACUGUGUAAGGGUUGUUUUGUGUUUGACUUUUAUUCUGUAAAGGUGAUACCAUCUUUGAGCCAUACACGGCUGGUCUCACAGCUUCUCUGGGCCCCACUCCUGGUGUCCUCCUGUUAGGUAUGGUAGUCUGUAGAGGAAAGGACUGUACAUAUAGAUGUCUACAUUCCUUUGGAGCUUGAAACUUGUGUGAUAAGGGUUCCAGGUAGGGAUGGAAUUUUCUGAAAAAUAUGAGGUCUUCAUGGAUUUAUUUUUCUAAUCUUGCUCCUUAAUCUUGAUGAGAAACCAGAUUGCACUGCUCCCCCUGGUUCUGCUAAAAUUAUGAACAAUUUUCAUGUAUUUCAUGCAUUAUUAUACAUUGAAUAUUAUAUAUGUAUUAUGCAUACAUACACUACAGGUUUCCUUAGGUAAACGGCACAGAUACAUAUCUUGAUCUUGAUCCCCUCCCCCUCUUUCCUUUCUUCUUCUGUUAUGGAACUCCUAUUUGGGGACUUCCCUGGCUUUUUUCUGGCCGAUGUAGGACCAGUCUGGAUAGUUGGCCUUGGUGAAGAUUUGAUGUAUUCAUCCCCAAAAAGUUUUUGAUUUGAGUUUAUACUGAAAUGAGGCUGCAUUUUAAUGUUGUAUUUUAAUCUAGUUUUUAAGUUGUAUUUUAAUCAAUUGUUUUUAUACCUGGUGUUAGCCGCCCUGAGCCCGGUCUUGGCUGGGGAGGGCGGGGUAUAAAUAAAAUUUAUUAUUAUUAUUAUACAACCACGCAUAUACCUGCAAAAAACACAUAUUAAUAUACUUGUAAAAUUAUGCUGCAGAAAUAUACGUAGUACAAAAUGGAGCUUAACUAUUUUAUACAUGUUAGGGGAAGAAGUCUGUGUCCCAAUAACAAGAUCGCUCCAUCAGCACAUGCAUUUUUGCCUACCUGAUGGAGGGAUCUGCCUUCUCCCCCACCCCAUGCUGUUCUGACCCCCAUCCCUGAACUAUGAGUGGCCACAUAAAAGGAGGAGAGGGAGUAAAACCCCCCACUCAAUUUCACUAGAAGGAGCCCUUGCACAGGCUUCCACUGGUGGGGCUCAUUAGUUGAAUCCCAUCCUUUAGAUAUAAAAGUCAUAAUUUUUUGCAUAUAAUUAAUUGAGUUUAUAAAGCCCUGCUCACCAACAAUGCAAUUCUCAGUUGGUUCAGAGCUGCCAAUUUCAGUGUAUAAAUCUAUUUGGUUCUUCUUCCAUCUCUAGUUCUAGCUUCUGGGGAAGUCUACACGUGUAGAGAUGCAUGUAGGUCCACACAUAAAACAUGGAACUUGGGGUGGUACUAGGAUGGGGGGAGAAUCUGUGUAAUCUCAGGGGUGGGGUGAACUGCACUGCCAUACAACCUCACAGAUUGGCCAGCAGUGCAGCCGUACUCCACAGUAACCUUCCAUUCCUGGGUAAGGUGAUUGAGAGAGCGGUUGCUGAACAGCUUGGUAGGUUUCUGGAUGAAACAUCGGCUCUGGAUCCAUUCCAGUCCGGCUUCCGCGCUGGUCAUGGGACCGAGACGGCUCUGGUCGCCCUAACAGAUGAUCUCCGCAGGCAGCUGGAUUGAAGCGGGUCGGGGCUGCUGAUUCUUCUAGACCUGUCAGCAGCCUUCGACAUGGUCGAUCACGAACUCCUGGACCACCGCCUUGCCGACGUGGGGAUCCAGGGCACAGUCCUUCAAUGGCUGCGCUCGUUUCUCUCUGGUCGGGGACAGAGGGUGGCGCUUGGGGGGGAAUUGUCAUCCCGCCAUUCCUUGUUGUGUGGAGUGCCCCAGGGUGUGAUACUCUCCCGAUGCUUUUAACAUCUUUAUGCGCCCUCGCCCAGCUUGUCCGGAGUUUUGGGCUGGGCUGCCAUCAGUAUGCUGAUGACACCCAACUCUAUCUGUUGAUGGAUGGCCAUCCUGACUCGGCCCCAGACACACUGACCAGAUGUUUGGAAGCUGUGGCUGGAUGGUUACGUGGGAGCCGGUUGAAGUUAAAUCCUUCGAAGACAGAGGUCCUCUGGCUGGGACGGGACGAUAUGGGAUUGAGGGGGCAACUCCCAUCUCUUGCGGGGGUGCAAUUAGUGCCAGCACCGUCCGUUAAGAGUUUGGGUGUAAUCUUCGAUACCUCCCUCUCCAUGGAGGCGCAGUUUGCAGCUAUAACAAAGGCGGCAUUUUUUCAUCUCCGCCAAGCUAAGCAGUUGGCUCCUUACCUCUCUCGCCCUGACCUAGCCACUGUUAUCCACACGACGGUCACCUCCAGACUGGAUUAUUGUAACUCGCUCUACGUGGGGCUGCCUUUGAGACUGACCCAGAAACUUCAGCGGGUGCAGAAUGCCGCAGCGAGACUCCUUAUGGGGUCUUCGCUGCGAGAUCACAUUCAUCCGGUGCUAUACCAGCUGCACUGGCUCCCGGUGGAGUACAGGAUCAGGUUUAAGGUGCUGGUUUUAACCUUCAAAGCCCUAUACGGCCUAGGACCCUCGUACCUAUGGGACCGCCUCUCCUGGUAUGCCCCACAGGGGAACUUGCGGUCUUCAAAUAAAAACAUCUUGAAGGUCCCAGGCCACAGAGAGAUUAGGCUGGCCUCAACUAGAGCCAGGGCUUUUUCGGCUGUGGCUCCGAUCUGGUGGAACACUCUGUCACAGGAGACUAGGGCCCUGCAGGACUUGACAUCUUUCUGCAGGGCCUGCAAGACAGAGCUGUUCCACCAGGCCUUUGGUCAGGGUGCAGCCUGACUCCCUCCUUUGGCAAUCUUUACAAAACUUUAGUUUAUGGUUGCCAUCAAUUCUGAUUUUAAUUAAUUUAUAUAAUGUUUUUAUAAUGUUGCACUAUUUUAGUGUUGUUAGCCGCCCUGAGCCUGGCUUCGGCUGGGGAGGGCGGGAUAUAAAUAAAAUUUAUUAUUAUUAUUUAUUAUUAACCUCACAAAUGCUUCUUUAUUCCCGGAACACCACGGAGAGAGAUAUAUUUGGAAGUUUCACCUUCAAAAUACAUAAUAUUUGUUAGCUGAGGCAUUUAAACAACGCAGAUAACAUUCUAAGAGAAAAUCCUAGUAAAAAUUUAUUGAACAAACUGAACCAAAAAGAAUACAUCUUGAACAAAAAGGCACAAAGGAGUUUUGCUUUUCUGACUGACCUUGUUCAGAGCAUGGUUAGCUUCAACUAAAAAUUCACCCCCCAAAAAUCCUCCCUCAGAGCAAGAGAGGAUAACAGAACACAUGCUAACCUCCGUAAAGAUCAUGCCAAGUUCCCUGUUUGCUUUGCAACAUUGCCACUCACUCCUCUUGAGUUGUUGACCAACACUGAGACCAGAAUUAACUCUUAAAUUUCAAACUAAGUGAUCUCGGCGGUUGUACUUCCAACAGCAUUUAAGCAGCAAUCUUAUGUCUAGGUAGAGGAAAUUUACAUGUAAAGGAAUUCUAAAUCAUCAUCUUUUUCUUUUUGGGGUGGGACAAAAGUAUCUAAAUUAGUUAUGUAUACAGCUUAAUGUGGUGAUAUUAAUAAUAAUAAUUUUUCUGGCAAGGGGGAAGCAGCAUGAUUUCAAAAUUAAACUGAUUCACUUUCUCUACUGCAUGUUUUAUUAGUUCAAUAUCAGUUAAUACUCCUCGUGGGUUUUUCUCCUGCACUGUAUAAAUCUCAGCUGAAUGAAGUAAUGUCUUUUGGAACUGAAAAUCCAACCCCCUCAGGAGAAUGUGGGACUCAUUUCUUCCCCUACUCUUUCUCCUAUAUUAAUGCCAGAAAAGAGCUUCAUUCUAAGCACAGCGGCCCUGCGAUUGAUGCCAGAGCGGGGGGGGGGGGAGGGAAGGAAGACGACAUAAACACAAAAGCAACAAUGAUUCUAGACCAGCCUGGUGUCCUCUGGAUGUUUGAACUUAAUUCCCAACUGCCCCAGCCAGCAUGGAGGACACCAGAUUAAGGCUAGUGGUCCAUUCUAACAACUCUAUACAAACAGCUCCAACACAUCCAUUAUAUGUUCCACCCUUUGUUUAGCUUACCAUGAAAUUCUGUUUGUGUCAGCUGUCAAAAUGCUGUGGACAUAGUGUACUUUGAUUUCAGCAGGCCUUUCUGCAGGUCCUACAUGAUAUUCCUGUUGACAAGUUGAUAAAACGUGGGCUAGAUUACACCUUUGUAAGGCUGGACCAUAAAGCUGGACCACAAAGAAGGCUGAUCGCCGAAGAAUUGAUGCUUUUGAAUUAUGGUGCUGGAGGAGACUCUUGAGAGUCCCAUGGACUGCAAGAAGAUCAAACCUAUCCAUUCUUAAGGAAAUAAGCCCUGAGUGCUCACUGGAAGGGCAGAUCCUGAAGCUGAGGCUCCAGUACUUUGGCUACCUCAUGAGAAGAGAAGACUCCCUGGAAAAGACCCUGAUGUUGGGAAAGAUGGAGGGCACAAGGAGAAGGGGACGACAGAGGACGAGAUGGUUGGAUAGUGUUCUCGAAGCUACGAACAUGAGUUUGACCAAACUGCGGGAGGCAGGGGAAGACAGAAGUGCCUGGCGUGCUCUGGUCCAUGGGGUCACGAAGAGUCGGACACGACUAAACGACUAAACAACAACAACAACAAGGCGUGUAUGCAGCUGGUUGAUUAACCAUAUUGAAAUAAUGUUCAUCAGUGGCUCCUCGGUGAGCCUGUAGAGAGGUCACAUGGUUCUUUUCUAGUCGACAAAGGACAAAAUGACAAAGGAAGAAGUAGAGGAGAAGUUUGUCAGAGCUGCAGAUGGCACCAAAAUAGGUGAUGUGGCUAAUACCUGAGAUAACAAAAACAGGAUGAAAUCUUAUCUUGACUGGAUGGAGAACAUGGGUCAUUCAUUUGAUAUGUUUUCUAAUGGAUAGUGCCAAGAAAAUGUAUGAAAUGGAACAUCUAUGGCAGCAAACAUUCAUAAAUGUCUGACCCAGGUUUCCUGUUCCUGUUCUCUACAAGAGUCAGAAAACAAACACCCUGAUAAUGUCACAAGAAUCAUAGCUGGAAUAACUGCAGUGGUAAAUAGAUCUUUAUUAUCAGUAUACCCAAUAAGUAAAUCUUCUUAAAUUUUUCAUAAAGUAGCUCAACAAUUUAUCUUCAGUGAAGCUGAAACUCUACAUUACAAGCUUUCUUGUGAGAGGUAACUCUUUAAAUGAAGCAAUGCACUGAAUAUUGAAAGUGCAUUAUGCUUUAAUUCUCAGUCUGAAGUUCUGUUUUGUUUCAACAAAAGUAUAAUCAUUUUGUCAAGUAGAAAACUGCUAGAUCUUUCUCCUGAUUCUUAAAACGAGGUCUGCAUGCAUUCAUACUGCAGCAGCAGGCUUUGAUAAUCUUAUUCAAAACUGAAUGAGCCACAAAUGACUCGAGAUACUCCCAGGCUUCAAAACCUGUGCAAAGAAUUCCUAAGCAUUUAACUCUUUAUUAAGCAUGGAGGAUGUUCCAGCUGUUGUGAAGACAAGGCCAUUCAUUCACUCUAUUUGUAUGCCGCUUUUCACAAAAAAGAAACAUGCUCAAAGUAACUUACGACAAAAGAACAGGAAUACAUUUCAAACAAACACUCAAAAAAACACAAUUCCACAGUAGCAUAGCAAAAUAACAUAGUAACAAUUUCAUAAGAACAUAGCAAAACAACAGCAAAUAUAAUAACAUAGAAAAAGCCACAUUUCCGUACUAUAAAUAUAACAAGAUUACUUAAACAACGUGCAGCAUCCAAUAUCAAAAAGAGCAACCCUGUUUAGGGAAGUUUUUAAUGUUUGAUGUUUUAUGGUGUUUCAAUAUUCUGUUGGGAGCCACCCAGAGUGGCUGGGGAAACCCAGCCAGAUGGGUGGGGUAUAAAUAAAUUAUUAUUAUUAUUAUUAUUAUUAUUAUUAUUAUGCUACAGCUUCAUGUUUGUCCUAGAAACACCCCUCCAGUGAUGUUCCCCAGUGUCCCUCUCCUGCAGCCAUUUGCAAGGCUGCUGAGGUGUUCCAGUAACAUGAUUAAGCAAUAAUAUUGCAUAAUAGAGGUGCUGAGUUCCACCCAACAUUGGGGGAGCUCGUUGCAUGAGCAUGACAUCACAAGUGCAACACACAUUGGGAGAAGGCUGUGAGGCCCAACAAGACCCACCGCCACUAUGGGGAGGCCCAGGGGGUAACCCCUCAAGAUUGGGGAGGCUCAGCCCCAUCCCCACCUACUUGAGGGUGCUGAGGUGUCCUCAGCCCCACAGAAGUUGGUGCCUAUGUUGCUCACAGUCCUUCUCCUGCAGCAGCUUCUUAUAAGAGCUAUGGUUUUCCCAGGGAAGGCAGGCAACUACCAGCUAAAUCCCAGGUCACUAAUAAGUGAGUUUACCUUGGUUUGUACCCUGAAAGAGUGGUCUACCACACAGAGAACAGAACUAUGGUUUAUCAAGAACAUCUGGAUGGAACCACUUUCGCUACCCAUAAGGAGAAUCAAUUCUCUAAAUAGCCUAUACUGGACAAUCUUAAAGAGAAAUUCUCAAUUGUGAUGCAGUUCCAUAAGGAAUAAGCUCCCUUUUUAUCCUGAUAGAAUUAAGGGAUGGGGGGAAGAGAAUUCUCCCAAGAGGCACCACAGGUGGGCUUUAAAAACUUUUAUUUAUUUUACACCUGGAAUGUGGCAUGUCCAACAGAAAGAGAGAUGAGUUAUUAAGACUUUUCAAGAAUGAAUAUUGUCUGUGAACUGGGAGAUAUUUCCUAUUUAUUCCUGGGACAUAUGAAAGCAGCAACAUAUUUUGGGAGUGUUCUGACUGAAUGGCUUCCUUGGUGCCACUAAAACAAAAGAGGUGUGUGUGUGUGUGUGUGUGUGUGUGUGUGUUCCCUUUUUGAAGGCAUGAAACAACUGCAAAGUGCUGAAACAAAAUGUCCUCUUUCAGAUAGGAAAUCCGUAUAAUACAGUAUUGUAUAAACACCCCAGAAUAUUUGCUAAUCAAUAUUCAUGCAACAUCAUAUAGAAGACAUGACAACCACAUAUUGGAAACAUGGGUGAGUGAGCAGUGAGCAGCAAUUUUAACAAGAUGUAUGCCAUCUCAUUGAUAGUAAUACCAACUGCAUGCUUUUUGUCCACUGGUAAUAGGGUUAAAAUUGUGAAAAACAACAGUCAAUGCAGCUAAAGCGUUCAGAACUUAGAUAACACAUUGAAAGAUGAAGCUCCCAAUAUCAUAGACAUAAGGAAUUCAAAUAUGAAAAUAAAACUCAGUCUGCUCUUUACAGCAUUCAUAACUGAAAAAUAUAUUGACAAAAGUGGAGAGCUUUACAGAGCUGACAGUAAGGAAUACUUGAGGAAUACAUAUAGCCUGUCACAAACCAAUGAGCUAUGAAAGUGGAAAGUAUUUUACGUCUGUGAGUGUGUGUGUGCGCGCUUAUGUGUGGAAGUCUCAGUACUUAAAGUAAAAUGAGCACCCUUUUCCUAAUCCCUUGUUUAAAGGUUAGCCUAUUAGGUUUUAUUGGGUUUUUGGCUAGAUUUGUAGGGCUGCCUUUGUAUAUCAUCCAAUCUGAUUAUGACAGCUAGCAUGCUGUGUGCAAAAUAUUAAAAGUGGGACACUAGCAACUAAUGAAUGGUUAAAUAAAUAAUGGGAUUAUGUGGCAAAACCUAAAAUAACAAAUUAUGUUCAUGUUAAAGAAGGAAUGCAAAGGUUAAAUGUAUGUUUUAUUGGGAAUGGCAUGUGUGUAUUUUGUAACAGAAAGGAUAUAAAGAUUAGAAAUGCUUUUUGUAAAUUAUAUGUGUGCAUUUGCAUGCAUUUGAUUUAGAAGUGCAGAUGUUCAAACAAUCAAAUAAACAACCUUCAGUUGGUUCAGCAAGGAGCUAACCGAUUGCUUACUGGGGCAGAGGAAUGGAAGCAGUUGAUGUUUACCAUGAAAGAACUUCACAGGGGCUCUCUUGUUAGUUUUCUGAGUACAAGUCACAGCUGCACACAUUUAUGAAGGGCAACUGUACUCCUUGCAACUUAAUUUAAGGUCCUGGAUGCCAAAUGGGCCUGAGCAGAUUCCUAAUAAAAACCCGCUAAAAAUUGACUACACUCCUGUGGACUGCACACUGUGAAUAGCCCUUUCAUCAGCAAGGAGACACCUCAAGGCUAUCUUCUUGCUGACUUCUCUAGCUCGUCUGCCAGCCUUUGGAUGGUCAAGGCUCUGCUUUUAUACUGGGUGGUUUUCAUGUAGGAUUAACCUUUUUUGCCAUUUUGAAAUCCCCAUGGAAGAACAGCUUUGCAAAGCUCAGUUGCUCUUUUCUGUCUGUUCUUGGAGCCUGUAAUAUUUAGGAAUGUAGUGAAACUCUUGUUUCUAGCAUUUACUUUGGAGAUGAGCUAAUCUGUGAAAACACAACAUCUGCUAGAGCUAUAAAACAAAUGAAAAUUAAUUAGGUAUUUGAAGGUCUGCUUUGGAGACAAUAGGGUUUUUAAAGUUUACUAACUUCUCAAAGGGCUUAAACUAUUUAAUGGGAGUUCAGUCUGUAAAAUAUGUUGGUUGCUACUAGUUUCUUGAUUCUUGUAUUCUCGCAACAUAUUUUCACUUUGCUGGAAAGUCUGAGAGGAUUAGAAACAUGAGAUCAAUCUCCAAGGAGCUUUGCAUGCAACCGAUAGCCAAGAUCAUUCCUUUCUCGUGUAGUAAGUUGCCAUCAUAAUCUCUUCCAUCUCUAGUGCUGCUGCAUCCUGUCAAACAUAUAUAGAUAAUUUUUCAUAUAAUCUUCAUUUAUUCUGCAUACAGCUUUUCGUUUACAUACAGCUUCCUUAGCAAAAUAUAUGAAGAAUGGUUCUCCCUUGUGAAAAGCCUGGAUGGUUCUCCUGAGUGAAAGCAGAAAAGCUUACAUUUCCAGGAGAGAAAGAUUUAUAUAGCUUAUGUAUUAGGGAUGGGUAAAUCUGGCUAUUUCUGUUCUGACAGUGUAAUCCUAUGUCUACUCAGAAGGAAGUCCUAUUGAAUGAAAUAGGACAACAAAUAUGUGCUCUUCAAGGCCCACAUUCCCAGCAUGUUUGCACUUCUGACUCAGUGACAUCUAUGCUGGCUUGGUCAUGUACACAGAAUGGAAGGUGGCAGGAUCCCCAAGGAUGUGCUUUACGGGGUGCUGGCUUCAGACACCAGGCCUGGUAGCAGACCAACUCUGCGUUAUAAAGAUGUCUGCUGAAAUAUACUCAGAGUCAAGUAGUAAUUUCAUGCUCUUUAUUUCAGCUCAUAGGUACAGUGAUUGAAUUUCCCCCCCAAAAAACCUCAUGCUUUAUAUACAUUAUUUACACAAUAGGUCCCGUGUGAUUGGCUGACUGCUUCCCAUCUGGAGCCUGAUUGGGCUGCACUUGCAGGCCAAUCAGGUUGUUGCAUUCUAGGAUCGUCCUGACCUAAUAGGCUGAUAAGCUUCCUCCUGGGGCCUGAUUGGGUUGCUCCUGCAGGCCUUCAUCUUCCUCAACCACAAUCAUAAUAAAAAAAUGGCACCACAACUCUCCAAUGGUUUGUCUUUACCGCCAAUGGCACACUCUUCCAUUGUUUUGCAAAACAGACAGAUGCCCAUGUUAGGUUGAGUAAGGAUUGCAGCCUCAAUCACUUCUAGCCAGAAUGACUUUUAGAUUAUGUUCUUGUACUAUGGGGAUUAAGGGGCGGGCAUAAAAAAUGGAUUUUGCAAGCCUUUCCAGUUGCCAGGAGACUUAAACAUUGAGCCUGGAAGGAUCAACACCCAUUAUCUAUUAUGUAAUGGUCUGAGGACCUUAACACCCUUGCUACAUUUGAAUACACUUUUUUUAGAAACAUCAUUUUGAAUACACUUUUUUAGAAACAUCAGCUUUGUUUGAAUACCUGUUUUGACAUCCAGAUGGCAUAGAUUGAACUCUAUGUGUAAACCAAGAUGUAUGUGUUGAUGGUUAUUGUAUUAUGUAUGUGAGCUGGCAGGGUUUUUCUUGUGUUUUCUCUUUCUUUUUUCAUAUGUUCCCCAUGUUUUUCUUUUUCUUUAAUACAUUUGCAAUAAGAGAAUCAAUAACAAUUGUUUGCACCCCAAAAUCCAUCACUGUUCUGCAUUAAUCUUCAACAAAACAAAAAUAUUAUUUAAGUGCAUACUUUAAUACAUGGUUUAAUGCAUAAUUUUUCUCGAAAUAUGAAUUUCACUGUGGGAGUUUGGGGCUCAAAAUGUGUAUUUUGCUACAUUUAGCCUGCUGAGAAAUGUUUCACAGCAUUAUGAUAAAUCAAAUUCUUAUAGGGACAUAUAUUCACAUUUGAAAUUAUGGAUUCAUUCAAGGUAAAAUGCACUUGUAGAAGAUAAUUAUGUUGUAAUGUGCAAGAAAAUUACCCUGGCCUUUUGACACCUGAGGUGUGUUUUCCCUAUUCCACUGAGAGUCAUUUGUUUUAACUGUUUUUAAUGCUGAAUUUAUUAUUGCUGAAACCAGCUCUGGGGUCUGCUGGUGAAGGACAAGUAAUAAAUAUAAUAUCAUCACCAUCAACAACAAUGCUUAAGUGAACAUCUCAUUCAAAAAUGUGUUACAUUGGGGAAAUUUCCUUGCAAAAAUGUACCUAUUGGGAGAAAUGUGCGUAAAAAUACUGGCAAAUUUUCAUGAAGACUUUUAACAAAACGUGUUCUCCCUAGCAGAGAGCACGUGUUGUGGUGGGGGAUACAAGCCACCCCAGUGUUGCUGGGCGGAUUUGCGGAGUGACCCAGGCAGUGAAUUUGUUAAUGGGGUCGCUGGGGAGAAUUGCUUGUUGCCAAUUUUGAAGGAGGGAUCAGAGGUUUUAAAUAUUGGACGCCCAACUUUGGGCGUCUUCUUGGCUGCUUGCACCGGAUCACCCGCCCACCCUCCCUGUAUUGGGGGGGGCUGUUUGCUUGACCUUGCUAUGCCUAUCAUGGGGUCGUCUGCUUUGAGGCAGGGGCCUGGUAGGAAUUUUGUCCAUUUGGCUGAUUGGCUGGUGCCAUUUGGUUUUUGCCUACUGCGUAGCAAAUCAUCACAACUUGUAAGGUUGGCGGUUAGGCAUUGGUUCAAAUUGGUUGGUGGAGGGGUAAGUGCCUACCCCUCCAAUGGUGGUGCGGAAAGGGAAUUCCAUUAAAGGAAUCCAGGGGCUUGCCAUUCUUUUCGUCCUUGUCCCUGGCAUCGGACUUGGGCCGUGCAAGCCACCAGGAGCAUGAGGGUGAGAAGUGAGGGACUGAGGUCCAGCUUCAUUUUCUCCCCAAAAUUGUUUCCCUCACUGGCUUCCGCUGGAAUCCGGAAGUCAGUUCUGUCCCUGGGCAAGGACAGAUAGUUGGAACCAAUGCCUAAGCAACCACUCACUUGUGUGUAUUUAAAUAAAGUUGUGGCCAAAAUCUUGCCAAAAACCCAAACCAAAAUUGAUGUGUGAUGUGUGAAUUAUUGGGGGGUGGCUUGGAGACGUCGACACGCAAAACACACACACACACACAAGCAAUGAGGUAGAAUUGUGGUAGACUGGAUUUAAGGUUGGAAAAAUGAGAAGCUGAAGUUGACAUACCCAACCAUUCUUAGGGCAUAAAGACAUACGUAAGACGAGCCUGCAGGAUCAGGAUAAUGGCCCAUCUAGUUCAGCAUCCUUUUCUCACAAUGGCCAACCAGGUGCCUAUGGGAAGCCCACAAAAGGACCCAAGUGCAGGAAUACUCUUCCCUCCCUUCCAGCAACUGGUAUUCAGAAACAUUGCUACCUCUGACUAUGGAAGUAGAGCAGAGCCACCAUGGCUAGCAGCCAUUGACAGCCUCACCCUUUAUGAAUUGAUCCAGUCCUCUUUUAAGGGCAUCCGAGUUGAUGGCCAUCACCGCCUGACAUGGGAGUGAGUGCCAUAGUUUAACUAUGUGCUUUGUGGAAAAGUACAUCCUUUUAUCUGUCCUGAAUCGUCCAGCCUCAGGCCCUCCAGGCCUCUUUCUCCAGCCCUUGAGAUUGUCCCAGGUUUAGGACCACCUCCUUGGUCUUGUAGUGAGGUGGAAGCUUACUGGGAAAUGAUAUAUAAUGAAUUGAAAAGGAUGUUUAAAAUAACGUUUGUAAAAAAAUAACCCAGAAGUUUUUCUUUUGGGAAUUAUAGGGGCAGAACUACCCAAACUGUAUAGAAACCUAUUCAUGUAUGCUAUUACAGUGGCAAGAAUGUUACCUGUCCAAAAUUGGAAAGAAGUAGAAGUCCCAGCAAAGGAAGAAUGGAUAUAAAAACUUAUGGAAUAUGCAGAAAUGGCGAAAUUUACUGGAAAAAUAAGAAAUCAAGAUAACAAACUUUUUAUAAAAGAAUGGAAAUGGUUUAUUGAAAAUUUACAGAUAAAAUAAAAACAGAUAAGAACAUUGGCAGGAUUAUUGUAAAAACCUGAAGUUUCAUAAGAAUAUAUAUUUAAGGUAGAUGAAUAAAUGAACAAAUUAAGUUAAUUUGAAUAUGCAGAAGAUAUUAAAAAAAUAAAUGAAAGGAACUGCAGAAAGAGGGGGAAGGAAGUCAAGCUUUGAAAUGUUAAAAUGACUGUAAAAUUAUUGAAAUGUAUAAACCUGAAAAUCAUAUUAUUUUUUAAAAAAGGCUCGGACCACCCCCAGGCCAACAUACAUCUCUCUCUCCCCGGAACAAAUCCUUCACUGUCCCUUCUCUACAGCCUCCCCAGUGCUUACACCCUUGAAUUUUGAUAAUGCUUCUGGUUUGCCUGUACAGUGGUACCUUGGGUUACAUACGCCCCAGGUUACAGACUCCGCUAACCCAGAAAUAGUAAGAACUUUGCAUCAGAAUGAGAACAGAAAUCGCGCAGCGGCGGCGCGGUGACAGCGGGAGGCCCCAUUAGCUAAAGUGGUACCUCAGGUUAAGAACAGUUUCAGGUUAAGAACGGACCUCCAGAAGGAAUUAAGUUCUUAACCUGAGGUACCACUGUAUGGAGAAUGAUGCGCAGGGUGGUGGUGGUAAGGAUGCUGUUGCAAUCUCAAACUUCUGGAUGGGUGAAAUCUAGUCCAUUGUAAAAAGGUAAGACUCACAUCCCCCCUUUUUUUUGUCUCAGGUCCAGCCUGCCGCCAGCAUACAGCCCCCGGAAGAUUGGCCAUGAUGGAAUGCAGUCCUCAGGCUGAAAAAGUUUCCCCACAUAAUAUCCUGUUUCCUUUUGUAAAAAGAAAGAAAUGUCUUCAAGUAUAUCCAGAGUUUAGCCUGCAGUUUGACAAAACAUCCUUAUUGUGUAUGGAUUCCAGACCUACUUGUCCAACUCAAUUACUGUUCCAAUCUAGUCAUGCUGAUAGAAUUUACAGAACAGCUUCUCUAUUUUCCCACAUUUUAAUUCUGUUACACAUUUGACUGUGAAUUUAUUCUGGUCGGGCAAAUGAUUGUGGGGCGAGGUGGGGGAGCAACUGAACCGACCUGAAGAGAAGGAGAAAAUAAAAUAAAUACUUUUUUUCUUUUGCUCUUCCCUAUUCCAUAAUAUGGAAUGGAAUCGACCAUGAAUGAAGAGGGAUGAUGGAUAUGGGAGUAGAACUAAAUAAGAAGGUAAAGGUAAAAGGACCCCUGAUCGUUAGGUCCAGUCGUGGACGACUCUGGGGUUGCGGUGCUCAUCUCGCUCUAUAGGCCGAGGGAGCUGGCGUACAGCUUCCAGGUCAUGUGGCCAGCAUGACUAAGCCGCUUCUGGCAAACCAGAGCAGCGCACGAAAACGCCAUUUACCUUCCCUAUUUAUCUACUUGCACUUCAUGUUUUUGAACUGCUAGGUUGGCAGGAGCAGGAACCGAGCUACGGGAGUUCACCCCGUCGCAGGGAUUUGAACCGCCGACCUUCUGAUCGGCAAGCCUUAGGCUCUGUGGUUUAACCCACAGCACUACCCACAUCCCUGAAAUAAGAAAGUAAGAUACAAUAAGUAAACUAAUGUUUGGCUCCUUAAACAAAGGAAAGGAGAAAUUCAUCAAACACAUUGCUGCCUAGCUCUUGGUUUCAGGUAAAUCCCCAAAGUGGCAUAAAAUGAACAAAACUAUAUGCCUGCAUGACAAGGAAGAAGUUAAUCAUUUAUAAUUUGAGGUUAUGGUCUGGUCUUGCCUCACUCUUCAACUCCUUUGUUUGGGAUUAAAGUCCUGUUCCCAUUGCAUCCAGCCACCCAGAACCCCUUGCAAAAGGAAGCAAGAGAUUUCUGACCCCUCUAGCAGAUGUACCAUGUAGCGAGGAAUGCGGAAUCUGUCACCCUAUAUAUUUUUAGACCACGUGGAAUUGAUUAGAACUCAGGAGCUGCUCUACAUCUGACCACGUCACCGCUUCUCGUGUUCACACUGAGUGAUUAUUAUGGUUACAGUGCAAGGGACUUGUGUACUAGACACGCAGGCCAGACACAAAUCUCUCUGUAUAAGAAAGUGAUUGUUUUAUGUGUGCUGACCACACUGUCCCAACUAUAGGCUUGCCAUACGUCUGUCAAAUUCCAAACAUGCCAGGAAAUCGAACAUAUAAAAUGGCGUCCGGAGGGGAGUUUUUGAAUUUUAAGAGAUGUCAGGAAUUUCCAGGACUUUUGGGGGGUUUUCUGCCCCCCCCCCAUUUUUCCAGGGUUUAGAGGUCACUUCCCUUGGCUGGGGAGUGGGGGGAGAAUGAGGAGGCGGGGGAGGGAGGAGGCAAUGCAGUUGGAAAGAAACAUCAACAAGGAAUCUUGUAGGCUGGUAAAGGGGGUUGCUGGUCCCGACUGUGUGUGUGACUGUGUUGCUGCAAGAGGAGAGGUGCAGGGAGAGGGGGAGCGAAAACAGCUGAGAGUAUGUAAACACUGGCACCAACAUCUGUUGGGAAAGGAAUUCUGAGCAGGGUGGGUUUUGUGUGUGUGUGCAUUAAGCAUUCUCUCUCUCUCUCUCUCUGAGGAUAGCUCAGCAGGAGACUCCUAAUCUCAAGGUUGUGUGUUUGCAUCCUGCAUUGCAGGGAUUGGACUAGAUGAUCCGAAGGCAGGGGUCCUCAAACUUUUUAAACAGGGGACUGGUUCACUGUUCCUCAGACACUGUUGGGGGUCAGACUAUAGUUUGAAAAAAAUAUGAAUGAAUUUCUAUGCACACUGCACAUAUUUUAUUUGUAGUGCACAUUUUGAGUUGUUUGUCUUAAUAGCUACCUGACAUAUUAUUAUUAUUAUUUCUUGUGUUUAAAAAUAAUAAUUUCAUUUUGAAAUAUAGAAUAGAUAGUAAGUAUACAAACAUAUUGACUGCAUUAUUCUUUCAUUAAAGGGCCAACAUGGUGACCUACAACUUUUCCUUUAGGAAACUUCUAAAGUUACUAGUUCUUCCAAACUGUGGGCCCUGCCCACAAGAUUAAAACCUAGCCAACAGUAUAUUGUUGGAGUAUUCUUUAGAAGUUUCUCCCUAAUCUGGCCUGACUAUCCAUAAGCACUUAGGCAAACCUGGCCUGCUAUUGUGCUCAGUUUCUGUCUGUGAGCUUCCAACAGUCAUAUUGACCGUCUCUCUGAGAACAGUAUGCUGGUCUAGAUGACCCUUUGGCCAGAUCCAGCAGGACUCUUCUUAUUCAUUUCCACCCCCAUCGUUCAGCUCGGACACUGAGAUCCAGCGCCGAGGGCCUUCUGGCGGUUCCCUCAUUGCGAGAAGAGAGAUUACAGGGUACCACCACCUUCUUGCUGGUGGUGCCCGCCCUGUGGAACACCCUCCCUUCAGAUGCCAAGGAAAUAAACAGCUAUCCUAUUUUUAAAAGACAUCUGAAGGCAGCCCUGUUUAGGGAAGUUUUUAAUAUUUAUUGCUGUAUUGUUUUUAACUCAAUUGGGAGCCGCCCAGAGUGGCUGAGGAAACUCAGCCAGAUGGGUGGGGUAUAAAUAAUUAUUAUUAUCUUUUGGGAAUGUUUCCCUUUUUCAGUCACAUGCCUGGAUCCAGUAUUUUGCUUCUCUUCUGUAUCCAGUUCUGCUUUAUCUCAUGACUGAUUCCAAUCCUGCUCUGAUUCUUUUGAGAUGAGUUUUAAAACAACGUUUUUUUGGAUGUUUUUUGGAACAUCCAAAGGCUGAAGUGUACAUAAGUCUGUUCUAUGACAACCUUAAGCCGAAGAUACGCAGAGCAGGGCUAAGUAAUUUUGUCGUCAACCAUCUCUUCCCCUUCUUUAGCAGCUGACAAAUUUUAUAGAAAAUCCUACCCUGCAUCAAAAUUACUCAGGAUUCUAUAUGAUUUCAUAAAAAUCCCAAAUGUCAUUCCUCACAAGUGUUUAGCUUACAUGCACAUGGAUGAGUGUCCCUUGUUCUUAAUCCCAGAUCAGGCUGUGCUGCCUGUAAUUCACUGAGGGCAAGGCAUGUGUCACAUACGCCAUGCUUCUAACUUUUGAGCCAACAUUUUCUUUGUCGGGCUUCAGUCUUUUCUCAGGUGUUCUUUCGGAUGGGCUAUCUCCUUAGCACACACACCCAACCCCUUAACUCUUAAGACAGCAAAAUGUGAAAGGGUGAAGAAUAGCCUGACAGAGUUUGAUAUCAAUGCCAUCGUGUUUUCUAGAAAGCACCAUAUGUUUUUCCUAGCUGCAUAGGAGAUAGAAAUUCAUUCUUCAGUACUUUCCACCUUCGUGCUUUGAUACCUAAGAUUUAUUAUGUUUUAUUGAAAUUCUCAGGUAUUAUAUGCACUAACUCUAUAGGACUGAGGAGUCUUCAGGCCCCUCAAAGUCUGUUGGGAUGGGGCUGAGCUUGAGGGAGCAGAGGAGGCCAAGCACGAUCUCUCAGCCAUUCACCCGGUGCCUUUCUCAUUACGGGGUGGCCAGGACUGUCUGGAACAUCCCAGGGGCGAAAGGAUGGCUCCCCUUCUCACCCCUGCCGCUGCACUGUCUCCCAACGGGGCACCGCCUCUGCUAUAUCUUCUGCUCCAGCUUCCGGAGAGGUAUGAGCAGGGAUUACAAGUCCCAUCAUGCCGCAGCCCCAUCCAUUCCUUCUGCCUAGCUGACUUCCUUCAGGGCCAGCAGUGGCGAGGCCAGCGAGCCAGGAGCCAAGUACAGUGGCGUAGCUAGCUGCUGGGGUGCCCGGUUCCGGGGCGUGUCCUGCAGUCAGGGGCGGGGCGAUCUGCCCAUGGGGCGGGGCAAGACUCUCCGAUGCUUGGAGCCUCUCCGCCACCUCCCCCUCAGCUGUAGAGCUGCUGAGGGAGAGGCAGUAGGCAGAUGCAAGUCCCAUGCUGCUGUUUCAGGCAGCACGGAACCUGCAGGCACCUAAGCCACCACAUCACUCCUAAAAAGUUUCGUGAGCCCAUUUUUUUUAUAAAACUCAUUUUGUCACACACAUACCCCUCAGUGAUGACACCUGAGGUGGACCACAGCCCCCCACCCCCUUCCUCCGCCAAUGGCCAAGUGCAACACUGUGCCACACAGCCGGACUCUGUGCUCAGCCUGCUCCCGAUGUGACAGGCACAUGUGCAAUCAUGUUGGGCACUACUCAACGCCUCUGUCAGCUAUCAUCGUGGAAUAGAGAGUGCAUAGAGAGAUGUUCACAAUGUGAAAAUUAUACCGCUUUGCAAGAACCUUAUCAUGGUGGUGUGUGUGGGGGGGGAAUAAACAUGCCUAUCCUUAGUUUGUCUUGGGCAGAAAGCACAGUGCUUUAUAGAAUAUUGUUGGCUGCCAUUUUUAAAAAUCCACUCAUCUUUAGCCAUAAAUAUAAUGCAUAAACCUACAUUUCUUUUCCCUUUUUUAUUCAACUUUUCCUCCAGAUGGAUUGAAUAUGGAGGGUGAGUUAAAAUUUAUGAUCUCAAAAAAAUAAAAAUAAAAAAAUCACAUACAUACCGCAUAAAGGAAAUAGAAAAUUAUCUAUGUGAUUAAAUUAGUGUUUGGUUGUAAGUCACUUUGGGUUUCCCUGGGCAAGACAAAGUGGCAGACAUAUUUAAUAAAUAAAUAAUUGAAGAAGUAGAUGGAUGACACAUACACACUUUCUAUGCUGUUAAACAGCUUUUCUGGCUGUUAUUCCAGUCAACUCAUUGUUUGAGAAAACCACACACAUUUCCAGCAAUAUAUGCAUUUUGACACACCCUUUACUCCAGUAUAUACAGUUUUGUUCAUGUUACUUUCCUAGAGAACUGCACUGGAAAAUUUAUAGAAGUAGGGCUUUCAAAGCACGGGUGUCUUUCAGUUUUCAAUUAGUUGCAGAAAGUGUGAAUUAGAUAGGUUUGCCUUUACAAGUGAACUGAACUGAAUUCCUCUCCCAUCCUAGCACGGAGCAGUAGCAGAGUGGAAAAACUGACAGCAAAAGAGGUAAAAGGUUGGAACAAUUUGAGUCUCCAGGGGGGAAAAACACAUGACACAGGUGAAUAUUCAGUACAGUCCUAGAGUCUUAUGGGAAUCAUGUAUGAACUUGACUGAAUCACCACCGCCAUCAUAAUUUAUUACAGUCAAAGACCAGCUCGAAAAGCACAACUGGGACAGCUUUCACAAGAAUAAAAUGUACAUGUAAAGCAGCGUAAAGCAACAGUUUAAAGAUUAAAAUCUAAGAUAAGUGCAUAUGCACAUAAAGACCUAAAAAUUUGGGCUACCAUGCAAAUUUGCCCUGCCAACCUGGAGGCCAACUUUGACUGUUUUCCUGAACCACCAGUUAUUUGUCCCUUAUGUAGUUUCUUUCUUCUUCUUUUUUUAAAAAAUACAUCUUUAUUCAGCUGAAGAUACUUUGGUGAUGUAAGCAACUUGGCAAUGAUCCAACCUUGAUUGUCAGCUAUGGGAAGCAAAGAAUUUCAAGCGCAAGCUUUUCCAAAGCUGAUAGUGGAAAGCCCCAGAUGUGCAUGUAGUCUCUGGAUGAGUUUUAAUGGAUUUUUUUGCCAGCAGAAGGAAAACCUUUAGUAUAUUUUGGUGCUUUCCUGUUUUCACAAUAAUGCCUAGAGCACCUUGAGUAUGGCAAUGAUAUGUGAAGACAUCGGCAGUCACUUUCACAUAGAAGGAAUGCAUUAGCACAGACACUUCUGUCAUGGCCAUAUUGAAACAUCGCUACUCUCUGAUGGGAACUUUCAGGAAAAAUUAAACAAAAUGUGGAGGCUCAUAGCUCUAAAAUUCUAAGGAGUAAUGAGAUGCUUUAUUUACAAAUUAUUUUAUUUAGAUUAUGGAUAUACCACUCCAUAUUUCAAAUCCCCUCCCCCCAAAAAAUGUAUUUUUGUUGACAUAUUUCAAAUCUCUGAGCAGUUCGCAACAGCAUAACAUUGUAAAUUAAAAAAAUAGAAAUAAAUAAUCCACACUUAGAUAAGAUCACCUCUAAAAAUCAAUGUAAAUGAGAAACAGCUAACAUGUGUUGUCGUUGUUGUUGUUUAGUCGUUUAGUCGUGUCCGACUCUUCGUGACCCUAUGGACCAGAGCACGCCAGGCACUCCUGUCUUCCACUGCCUCCCGCAGUUUGGUCAAACUCAUGCUGGUAGCUUCGAGAACACUGUCCAGCCAUCUUGUCCUCUGUCGUCCCCUUCUCCUUGUGCCCUCCAUCUUUCCCAACAUCAGGGUCUUUUCCAGGGAAUCUUCUCUUCUCAUGAGGUGGCCAAAGUAUUGGAGCCUCAUCUUCAGGAUCUGUCCUUCCAGUGAGCACUCAGGGCUGAUUUCCUUAAGAAUGGAUAGGUUUGAUCUUCUUGCAGUCCAUGGGACUCUCAACAUGUAGGGACCGUAAUAAUUAGUAACAGACCAAAAUAUAGAAAUAUAGCAGAGACAACCAGCCCCACCCACAUGCAUCUAUUAACAGGUAGCAGCACUCUCACUUCUGCCGCUAUUGCUCCAACUUAAGAUCACCCAAAGGUAGAGCAGAAUAACACACUCCCCACCGAUAGAGCUCCCUGCUGUCACCAGGGAACACCCAUAAUUAUUCCUGCCCCAGGAAGAAUUACACAUGUCCCACACCCCUAGUGCUCCUUGCUCUUACCAGGGAGCACCCCUAAAUACCCAUGAAUCAAAAGCAAAACAGGGUAGUGAGCUCACCCUUGAUAUAACCCAAAUGGGUGAUCAGUGUCAGCACUAUGGACUGGGAGUGUGCCUAACAAGCCCCAGGUUAUCUCCAACCAUCUCCUCCAGCUUCUUCUGUUUAGGCUUGGCUGCAAGGUCUGUAGUCUUUUGGCUGAGAUCCUUUGUGCUCUUGUUCACCCCGAGGGUUCACACCUCAAGCAAGUGAACACCUCUUGUUCACUUCAGUUCACCCCGAGGGCUCACACCUCAAGCAAGCUGUGAGGCUUCAUGCAACAUCCCAUACAUCCAGUCAAGACAUUUACCUGGUUCUCCUUUCCGGUUCUCAUGUAUUUUUGUUAGUCAUUUUUAGAUCUGGAAAAGCAUGUGCCAACAUAGAUUUCCUUCAGAAUACAGGCUAGAUCCAGGAAAUGGAUCCUCGAUACUUUCUCUACCAGUUGGCCAGCUAUACUUUAUCUCUUGACCAUGUUGGUCUUGUCUUUUCUUUGAAGUCAACAUUCUGGCUAUCCAUACAACAUGGCAGAUUCUGACAUAAUUAAUCAGCAAGUACAGGCAGCUUUAUGCCAACCAGGACUUGUCACCAAAUUUGUCCCAUAUUGAUCACAUUUGCCAUGUUAUCAAGACGUUAUACUUCCACAAACAGCCUCUGGCAUGCUAGGAUUGCAUCGGGCAAAGCAGUGAACAGCUGAUUCUGAUUCCAGCCUAGACACAUGAACAUAUCCCUUAAAAUAUCACAGACCAGUCAUGGACCCAGAUGGCAAAAGAUUGAUGUUCUCCCCACCCCCUUACACUUUAAAAUGUAUAUGAACGAUUUAACAUCUGCAGUGUGUCUGUGCUUCAUUUUUGUGUGCAGUGAUGACCUCACCCUCUAGGUUGCCUUUUUUGGGGGUACCUAACCAUCAUAGAGUUUUAAUAAACCUGAGCUCACUGAGUAAUCACAUCUGGAUUGCUGCAUGUCAAGAGCAGCGCUUGCGGGUGGGGUGGAGGGAGGAGAAGAAAGGGACCAGGCCAUAGCUCUACAAAUCAAAUGUUAUGGUACAUGAAGUAGUUUUGAGGUGGGAGAUGACUAUAUGUUCCAGAUGUUAUGCAAAUACACUUUUUACAAGCACCUACUGUGAAUUCUGAAAAGAAUUAGCAUUCAAACGUUACUGAUGCUAAAACAGAAAUGGAGGGGGUAGGAUGGAAAUCCCUACAGUAUCCCAGAAGACCAGGAGUCUCUCUGCAUCACCUUCUGAAACUAUGCUCUCCUUGUCUUCUCCUAGACUGAAUGGAUUCACCUAAAUGCCAUGGCCUCCAGCCUUGCUGCUGUGAAAUAGAAGGAUGCAAUGUCAUAUGCCACUGAAAGCUCCAGGAGAAUCAACAGGGUUGCAGUUCCCUGUCCAUUUCUGGUACAAAUUAUCCAUCAGGGUGGGGAUAGCCAAGAUGGAUAGCCCUCCAGAUGUUGUUGGACCACAACUACCAUCAUCCCUGAAUUUACUUGGGACUCUUGAGAGCUAUGGUGUGGAGAGCACCACAAAGGCUAUCUCUGCACUAAGGUAGACAAGGUCAGUUUGGUCGAUAAGCUAGGCCACAAUUUUGACUGAAAUGGCUCCAGGUGAUGAUAUAAAGGGUCCACUCCCCAGUCUUGCUGCUCCUCCAAAUGAUAUUAUGUAUUAUACAUCAAAAUGACAGAACAAGCAUGCCAUUUUCAUGAACCAGCAUCUCUCGCUCUCCUCAGAUGGAUGUUUAUUCAACUGCAGUGGUACACACAACAUUUCUGUAAUUUUAUUCCAUGGGUAUUAAACUUGACUUUAUUGAGAACUGCUAUUCAUUUUGUUUUCAGACCACCACAUUUUCUGACCUUGUAGACACCAUGAAGGAGAACACUUAAAAAAAGAAAAAAAGAAUUAAUAGCAUUAGGAUUUAUGUUAUUGUUUGUGUGUGUGUGUGUGUGUGUGUGUGUGUGUGUUUCAACUGGAACACUUCCAAAAGGGUCCUGAGGAAUUGGCACAGUGAACUAGGGCUUGCAUUUUGCUUCUGUGCUUUGGGACAGAGGUCCAAGUUCCCACUCAGCUGAAUGAGCAAAAGGGUCACUAAACACAGCAGGGCUGGCCGGCCACAUUUUGAAUUGAAAUGAUGUACACAGUUAAUAUCUAAAGAAGGGCUGAGGAACUUUUGCCCCCCCCAAUGUUGCUGAACUACAACUCCCACCAGUCAUGGCCAGUUUCCAGAAAGCAAUCCAAAACGUCACCCAAGAUAAGUAGAAAUGGGCAUUGAAACAAACUGAAAUUGGUAAAUAUAUUAAGCCCUGUCCUUCAAAUACUUAUUUCCAAGGCAGCUAACCAACUAAGCAUAAAACUAUAAACAAUACAGUACAAAAUGAAAAUGACAGCUGAACUGCAUAAAACAGCUAAUGUAAACACAUUGCCAGAGUUAUAAGUCAAGAGCAACAUAAAACAUUACAGCAGUUAAAAAGCCUGGGAUUUUUUUAAAAAGGUCUUCAACAGGCAUCAACAAUAUGUGAGUACACCAGGAAGGGACCUAGAGUAGUGGUACAACAUCUGCUUUGCCUGGGUUCAAUUCUUGACAUCUCCAGGUAAGUUUGGGAAAUUUUCCUGUCAGAAACCCUGGAGAGGUACUGCCAGUCAGAGUAGACAAUAUUGAGUUAGUUGGACUAUAUUGGUCUGAUUCAGUGCACAGCAGCUUCCUGUGUUCCUAUUAACCCAGAUGAAAAUGCACACUCCUUUUUUUUUAAAGCAUAGCUUUUUGAGACAGUGCUCUAUAAGGCAUCUUCCUAUCCUCUUAUGUGCACACCAGGCGCCCCCUCCCCUCAUUCCAGAGGCCUCUCCUCAAUGACUUCAGGCAGCAACUGGAGCCAGCAGAGAAACUCCAUAAAUGACUCCAGUGCAUGGACAGACUGAUAUGGGGGCCAGCCUUCCUUCAGAUGAAUAUGAAUAGUUCUUUGUAAGGCAACCACGGGCAGCAGAUACUAAAGGGGGUGUGUGUGUAGACAGCUUCAGGAAGGUGUUGGAUGAGAUAGGUCUAUGUGCCAUGCCUUGUGAUCCUUUAGCCAUCCAGCCAGUCUCAGGUGUGAUGGAGGAUGUUGUCCUUGUGGUGGAACUGAAGUAACAUUCAAGUCCAGGGUGUGAAUGCCAUCUUGUCUUCCUCAGGCAGCAAAUUGCCUUGAGCUAGGCCUUGUACUGGCUUACUUGAACUUUGCUUCAGUCUGAGGUUGGUCCACUAGAAUGCAGUGUUUCACCAAGCUAAGCCUGCCCCCACUUGCCCUCUCUUUACUUACAACCAUUUCAAGGAGAAGCAGGCACUGUCAUCUCCCUCUUCUUUAAUAUCACACUUGCCCUUUUAGAACUGAGUGGGGAGGGGGAGGAGGUGAACAAACCCCAAAUUGGCUUUGCCUAUCCUUUGCUCUGGCUCCACCUAGUGUUGGCCUCCGUGCCUUGUACCCUACCAGUCUCAAUUGGCAUCUACCUCCACUGCUUGCUUUUCCGUCUCAAUAUGAGGUACCCAGGAUGCUUUACCACAGAUCAAAAAUGUCUAUAAUAAUAAUAAUUUAUUAUUUAUACCCCACCUGACUGGGCUUCCCCAGCCACUCUGGGCGGCUUCCAACAAAAUAUUAAAAUACAGUAAUGUAUCAAACAUUAAAAGCUUCCCUAAACAGGGCUGCCUUCAGAUGUCUUCUAAAAGUCUGGUAGUUGUUUGACAUCUGGUGGGAGGGCUUUCCACAGGGUGGGUGCCACUACCGAGAAGGCCCUCUGCCUGGUUCCCUGUAACUUGGCUUCUCGCAGUGAGGGAACCGCCAGAAGGCCCUCGGCGCUGGACCUCAGUGUUCGGGUAGAAUGAUGGGGGUGGAGACUCUCCUUCAGAUAUACUGGACUGAGGUCAUUUAGGGCUUUAAAGGUCAGCACCAACACUUUGAAUUGUGCUUGGAAACGUACGGGGAGCCAAUGUAGGUCUUUCAAGACCGGUGUUAUGUGGUCUCGGCGGCCGCUCCCAGUCACCAGUCUAGCUGCCACAUUCUGGAUUAGUUGCAGUUUCCGGGUCACCUUCAAAGGUAACCCCACAUAAAGCACAUUGCAGUAGUCCAAGUGAGAGAUAACCAGAGCAUGCACCACUCUGGCAAGGCAGCCCGCAGGCAGAUAGGGUCUCAGCCUGUGUACCAGAUGGAGCUGGUAAACAGCUGCCCUGGACACAGAAUUGACCUGUGCCUCCAUGGACAGCUGUGAGUCCAGAACGACUCCCAGGCUGCACACCUGGUCCUUCAGGGGCACAGUUACCCCAUUCAGCACCAGGGAGUCCUCCACACCCACCCACCUCCUGUCUCCCCAAAACAGUACUUCUGUCUUGUCAGGAUUCAAUCUCAAUCUGUUAGCCACCAUCCAUAUGCUGCUGUUUUAGUUUGUGUUUGACUUGACACAAAGCAGCAGCUAUUAACAGUCAAAUAAAAUCAGCAGAGAAGAUCAGGUCAAACUUCCACAGUGACAACAACUGAAGCAGCCAAUACGGCAAAAGGCCUACAAGAAGUCUUCGGUCUGACACCUGGAUCCCUCAGGGAACUAAGCAUCCAAAGCCUGGAGACUGCAAGAGAGAAAGCUCUGUCUUGCGUACCUGGAAGCCAUGUCAGAUAUUGGCAGGACACACAACGGGGGGAAAUCAUACUCUCCUAGUUUUAGGCAUUUGGAAAUGCCUCGGUUCUCACACAAAGAUUCAACCUACCUAUUUGUCAAUAACAGAAAGAUAAUAGUUGGCAUAUGGAUGGGCAUGGAGCAGCUUUCUCCAGCGUGGUGCCUUCCAGAUGGUCUGAACUAUUUAUUUUAUUUAUUUCAUUAAAAUUAUGUACUGCUUGAUUGUAGAAAAAACCCCAACACAGUUUACAAAGAAGAUAAUACAAUAAAAUACUCUCUAAAAAUUUACAACUAUAAUUUAAAACACAGAGAAGGUUAAAACUGCAAUAAAAUAGACUAAAACAAAUUAAACGUCAUACCAAUUUUCUAAGCAUCUGGGUAGGCUUGUCUAAAUAAGAAUGUCUGGCUGGGGCUGAUGGGAGUUGUAGUUCAAAACCUCAGGAUGACACCAGGGUUGGCAAGGACUCGUAUAGAGGAACAAUAAUACGGCAAGCUGGUAAGGGUAGGGGAACAAGCCAGGUUUAUUGUUAGGAAAUCAUGUGGAUAAGCUUAAGAAAUGCUAUGCUUAAAUGUUAUAUUACAUUAUGCUGAAAAAUACAGUUUCUUGUCCUUAAGAACAUUUUUGUCACAGGUAGUUUGUAGCUUGGUCUUCUACAUGCUUACUUCAGAAUAUGUCCAAUAAAUGUUUUAAAACCCCCAAUGCCCUUCUCAGAAAAUGAUUAUGAAAGAAGAGAAGGGCUCCAUUUCCUGUUCUGUCCUAUUCAAUAAAGUUGCAAUGCUUUUCAUGAGCAAAUAAAAUUUAAAAACAGUAAGCAUACUUUUCCUCCUUUGGAAUUGAUUCCCAUCCUUCUGCCUAAUUGCUAUCAACAUUGUAAUGGAAAUCAUAUUGCAAUAUUGAUUAACAGUGGUUGCAUUUUCCAAUUAUUUCUCUAAUGAGUUAAGUGGCAAUGACCCAGAAAAUGGACCAAGACCUCACUACAGACUAAUGUUAAUUUGGUUUAAAUUGUUAUUUUCCCCCCUCUUCCAGCAAAUAAUGAUGAGAGACGCCUACUGUUAAUUAAUCAAAAAACUUCUCAAGAUAGAGUUCACCAGGUGGAAAUAAUUAGGCUUUAAUUGUGUCUUGUUUAUUACUCUUCAGAGAUGUAAACAAGAAAAGCUGGGUUCGUUUGACAGUCGUUACUAAAAAGCUUCGUAAUAAAUAAAUCAGAGGCAACAGUGUUGUGAUUAUGUCAUGAAUAUUUGUUCUUCUGCAUUUGUUCUGUGAGUCAGUUUGACAGGUGAAGAACUGGUAAUUUCCCUUUAGAAUUAAAAUAUCAGAUCAGCAGGUGGGAACAUUUGCCUUUUGUUUCAUUCUCUUCCUUUUUUGUUUAUUGUUUUCAAAUUGCUUAACUGACUGGCAGAAAGAUACAACUCGUUGUCAGAUGGAAUAACUUUUAAUGAUGGAAUUCACAGACAAUGAAGAAAUUUCGGUUGCACCUGCAUUUUGAUUUGAACAAAGGUACUUGAAAUUUGGGAGGAGGAAAAACCCAACAAAAACCCAAUCUUCACAACUGUCUACUUUAAGG